CCCUGCCAAAUUUGAAAAACAGUAUUGUCAAGUCCUGGGAUUGCUAGUUAUAUAACACUCAUCACACUGUCAUUGAAAACACAAAGUAACGACCCAAUAAUUCUCAAUUUAUUCUUCUUUCAUUUACUCAAUGCACUCUUCUAAGUUCAAUCAACAUAUAAGAGAACUAGUCAUCUAUAUCCUCUCAAGAUGUUUUAUAGACCUUUUAAUCGUGCCCCUUUAUAUUGAUCUUGCGGUGAAGAAUUAAUUUAACUUGUUCUUUUUUUACUUAUUCAUGUUGGACGACGUCUUUUCUACAUUAUUUCUCUUUUUUAUAUUAUUUUCCUCGUCCCUUGUCAUGGCAAAGAUCUAGAUGUGGCAGUGGAAAGUUUUGCAGAGAGUUGGUGAGUAUUCAAUUUUGUAGAGGGUUGGGAAGGAAGUCUUGGUUCUAGUUGUAUUAACAUCAUUAUAAACUAAAAAGACCAAAACAGGAAAUUAGCUAAACUUGUAAACUAGUAAGUAAAUAAGAUUAUGAAGGAAUGAGUUACUGGCAAUUUUGUGAAUCCCAGCCACAUAAAUUGGGGGCUCUUUGUAAAGCGGACCUCCACCGCUGCACUUCUUCCAUGUCGGCGUUAGGAUCAUGUUCAUGUUUAGAAAAAGCUUUCUCAAAACUUCCCUUGAUUUUACGAACAUGAGAUGGGUCUACUUGGUAGAAAAUGGGAAUCACAAUCUGCUUCUUCUGAUCCAUGCAUUGCAGGAUUUGGACGAGUUCUUUCAAGCACCAUGUGGAAGAAGCGUAGUUUUGAGAAAAAACUACAACUGAAAGCCGUGAGUCGCUUAUAGCUGUCAGUAGCUGCGAAAGGUCGUUGCCUUUUCUGAGCUCUUCAGCGUCACUGAAGGUGUUGAUUGAGUUCUGAACUAGAGCUUCGUAGAGAUGGCAGAUGAAGGUCCUGCGAGUGUCUUCGCCUUGAAAAUUCAAGAAGACUUGAUAUUUCCUGUGGAAAUUUUCAGGUCGACGGGUCGAGGGCCCACUCCAACAACACCGAUACUGUUCCCACUUAACCACAUGCACAAUCCUCAGGUGUGGGGCUUUAUCACAAAAGGCCUCGAUGUUAGUUAGAGAGGGGUAUUUCUAUUUAAAGCACUUUUUUCUUCUCCCUCUGUCCGAUGUGGGACUGAGGGUUCCAACACUCCCCCGCACGUGAGACCCCACUUAUGGGUCACACGUGAAUUUCCACACAUCGGCAACCAUGUGGAGCCAUGUCGGGACUCACCCAAUCACGCGGGGCCAAUGGGGACCCAUCCAAACACGUGGCAUCUUUGGCCUACGUGGACAAUCGCGCGGGGCCAAAGGGGACCCACCCAAUCAUGUGGCAAUACGGGCCCGCCUCCUGGCUCUGAUACCAUGUGGAAAUUUUCAGGUCGACGGGCAAAAAAAAAAAGAAAGUUUUUUUUUUUUAAAUUGUUGUCAAUGACAGUAGAAAAGCAAAAACAGGUCUACCAUGCUUCUAAUAAAAGUGUUUUUUUUCAACGCAUAGUAAUUAAUGUCAUUUAUGAAAUUUUCAAAUAGCAAGUAUACCCCCGUAUAUUUUACAAAAUUACAAUGAUUGCCCCUACAUUAUUUUGUUUGAAUAUUAUUAUAUCACAUUAAAUACUACAUUUUUCUUAGGCAUUUGACGUGAGGUUUUAUCACAAAAGGCCUCGAUGUUAGUUAGAGAUGGGUAUUUCUAUUUAAAGCACUCUUUUCUUCUCCCUCUGUCCGAUGUGGGACUGAGGGUUCCAACACUCCCCCGCACGUGAGACCCCACUUAUGGGUCACACGUGAAUUUCCACACAUCGGCAACCACGUGGAGCCAUGUUGGAACUCACCCAAUCACGCGGGGCCAAUGGGGACCCACCCAAACACGUGGCAUCUUUGGCCUACGUGGACAAUCGCGCGGGGCCAAAGAGGACCCACCCAAUCACGUGGCAGUACGGGCCCGCCUCCUGGCUCUGAUACCAUGUGGAAAUUUUCAGGUCGACGGGCCGAAGGCCCACUCCAACAACACCGAUACUGUCCCCACUUAACCACCUGCACAAUCUUCAGGUGUGGAGUUUUAUCACAAAAGGCCUCGAUGUUAGUUAGAGAUUGGUAUUUCUAUUUAAAGCACUCUUUUCUUCUCCCUCUGUCCGAUGUGGGACUGAGGGUUCCAACAUUUCCAAUCAGGAACAGAUGAAGAAGAAGAAGAAGCCAUCAACAAGCACAAGAUCGACAGCCUAAUGUGAGUCUGGCGUAGCCCCUUAACAAACUCAAGAUUGCAGGUCAACGACCCCCUUCAUUGGUUCUCCCUAGAAAAAUGAGAUGCAUCUUCAAGGGAGGCGCUUGGAAGUUGCCAGGAAAAGGGUCGCUUUGGCUAAAUAAAGUCCGCUAAUCUACGCCGUCCGAUUGAAUAAAGCAAGUGGGAUUGCACAUGUUGGCCGACAACCCCAUCAGGCUGGGCCCCAGUCCCUUCAGCAUGCUCCUUUUCCCUUGCUUUUUUGGCGCGUUGCCUUCCUUGUGGAGCGUCAAAGUGCGCAGCUUUCUCUCUUUCUCAGCGCGUCCACACGCGGAGCGGGUGAGUAUAGGAAAAGGAUCCGCAAGGAUUGUUUUGUUAGGGAUUCUAGAGAUUCUGUUAUCGGGAUCGUUCAUCGUAUAUUGUACAGUUGUAAAUUAUUUUAAAAUAUAAAAUUAAAUAUAAAUAAUACCUAAUAAAAACUGACAGCAUAAUGUAUGAUGAACGAUCACGAUCACGGAAUCUCAAAAAAAAAAGAUUCGGCAAGGAUCAUUUUCCAAAAAUUUUAAUCCAACUGGUUUCUUGUGUUAAAUUUAUCCCAAAAAUUAGUUUUGACCAAAAAUUGAUUUUUGGUCCAAGGGUUGGAGCAAAUCGAGAGAGUUUAAAAACAAAAAUUUAAGUUAGUCUAACAAAUACAAAUGAAAGAAAGUAACAUUCAUAUUUUAUUGUGCCCUUUAAUUUUUAUUUAAAAUGGUCUCGCAUAACUACUUACUUUUAAAAUUGAUAAAAAUGGUCCUGCCUUUGUUCUUUGUUUUUCAUUUAUUUAUAGGUAACUUGCUCAAGUCCAAAGGCAAUUAAACAUGAUUAGUAAAGCACCAUAAUAAAGCAUGAGAGAUAUCUAUUUUAAUUAAAUCCGUUGUGGGCUCACUGUGAUUGUACAUCAUCAUCAUCAUAAAUAAUGCAUGCUUGAACCCCAUUUUAGUUUCAUGCCUAUCAUGAUUAAAUCAUGGAUGGUCAAGAAGCAUAGGACUGAGAAAUCAGAGCCUAGUUUCCAAUACCAAAAGAGUACAAAUUAUUCAACUUAAACGCUAAUUUCGUUAACGAAGAUUAAAAUAGGCGUGAAAUCCAUACAAUUUAUACGUUACCAUUGAUUCAAGUUCUGGUAGGUAUCCAUGAAAACUAUCCGUUGCCGCUCUCUCAGUUCCCAUAUUUUCUGUAUAUUCCAUUAAAACAAUAUAAAUUUUUGAUGCUGAAGCUAAAACAGAUUACCAAUAAUAACAAAGAGGUCUAAAUAAUAGAAAUCAAAUUUUUUAUUUUUGCGGACUUUAGAGAAUCCCUGCAAACUUUAGCCUAACAUUAUGUGAUUGCCUCACUUCUUCAGUAACUCAGAGGAGGUGAAUUACUCAAAGUAUGGAGGACUUCUGCUAACAUAUUUCAAGCACUUGUAACAUUAAAUGUAAUGACAGGUUGACAUUAUUUUUUUUUUAAUUUUUUUUUUUGUAAAGAAUUGUUGCAAGAAGUUUGACCCUUUGUCUUUUUAUUUCUGUAAGGAUUUAUAGGUACAUAUAAAAUCCAUAUUAUAUAUGGUUCACAGAUGAGAGUACUUCAAACACCAAAUAUUCAUUCAUGAUUGGAGAUAAGAAAGCUUACUAAAAGGCAAUCGCCUUUGUGAUGUUUACUUUUGUGCUUAUCCUUUGUCUUCUUUUCUGAGGCAAAAUAUGUCAAUGUGAUAAGUAAUUUCCCAUAAAGAAUCUCAUCCUCAAUAGGCUAAACAACUACAAUGGUUAGUCAAAUAAUGUACUUUCAUGUAGUUAAUCUCCUCGGUUUGUGUUUACUUUUUCAAUAUCAAAACAUCUCGAAGAAACAACGUUUUCCCAUACUCUACAAACACCGAAUGUGCCCGAUAAACCACUAACAACGCCAUUACUCUAAUUCGACUGCAGAGUGAGAGUUAAGAUAAGAAGAUACUCACAGGUCAAAACGGAUGACAUCACCAACACGUAAAUCCAAAAGCCACAACCAAAUUUAAUUUUGUUUUUACUUUGAUUUUUUUUUUCUUGAAUCUGUUUGGAUGCUGAGAACGUGUGGUAUGGGAUUAUUAAUUACCGGCAGGGAAAGAUGACGAUUUCUCCUAUUUGGAUUUGCAGGUGGAGGAAUCAUAGCCGAGGGAUUGCAGUCCGUCGGUGACCAUCUUCCUCAAAUCGUCUUUUUGUUUGAGAUUCUUGUUUGCUUCGACGAUCCUCACCGUAUCGGCCAGGAGGUUUCUCUCCGAGACGCUCACGCAUGGAAUCAGACUCUGAUUAAACAAUAAUUAAGCAAACAAUCAAUCAUCCAUAUGCAUAUUCUGUGUUUGGUUGCCAAGAAACCGCGAGAAAUGCAAAAACAAUUUACUAAUAAAAAAGUUUAAUCAAAGCAACCAUUAUUUAUACUUUUGUACCUUAAGAAUAUCUGAGGCGUCGCCACCGAACAAACCGGAGGAGAUUGAAUCACCGAAACCUCCACCGAAUAUAUCGAGCUCGUCGUCGGAGCUGUCAUUGCUGUUGCCGUGAAAGCAAUUGCAGCGGUUCCGUCCACAUUUCGGCGGAGGUUGCUUCUCGUUGCUUUCUUCGAUGAAAUUCUGAACCAUCUUCGCCAAGCAGACCGAACUUGGCUUGAACUCAGGCCGCGGCGCUGACGGUCCCUUCAUCCUUGCUGAUAUUGAGGCCGCAGGAGUGGCGAGUUGUGAUGUGGACUCAGGCCUCUUGGCCUCUGGGUUUUACGGAGAAGGGGAAGACGGUGAGGGUUGAGAGAGAUGCAGAGUCUGAAAGAGAGUGAAAGAGAAAGGGUUAUAAGAGAGGUUGGGUGUGACAGAGACGAUUGAAGCAAAACGCACGAUGAUAAACGCGUGUGCUCGGUUCAGAAUGGCAAGCCCGUAAAUACCCAAUGACAGAUUUGUAAAUAAAAUGAAAUUCACUUCAAAAUACUGUUCAUUUUAAUAGUGCCAAUUGAAAACCUUACUUUAGACUAAAGUAACUAGAAAUUAUGCAUGCGCGUUGCUACUAGAAUCAGCUGUUUCAAACGUAAUUGGAUGGACAUAACACAUUUAAGUUGAAUAAAUUCAAAACAAUUACGAACAAACAGAAGGAUACAUGAGUGCAUGAGACCGGUAAGAUCAGUAGUUUCGUUUUUGUACACUUGUAAGUGAGUUGACAUAUAAACACAUUGCACAAUGAGUGAGAAUAAACUAUACGUGUUUGAAACUUCAUUUUAAACUAACAUUCACACAAUCCUAAUCAUUUGUGAAUUACCAUAUUCUUAUCAUUAUUCCAAUAUCUCUUCAUGUAGAUGGGGUGAGCUCAUACCAGUCAUUAAGGGCAUGUUUGAUACUCUACUUGAAUUCAACUUUUUAAAUUAAAAAAAAAAAAAUUCAAAUUUUAAGCCUUAAAAACUUGUUUGGUAAGAUUAUUUUCAAAAAUUGAACUUAAGAUUAACUCAAAACUAUAGUUUACUCUCUAAAAACACAAAAAGUAAAUUUUUAGAAUUUUUAAACUUAAACUCACUCAUUUCUUUUCUCUCCCUCCUCUCACUCCAAAUCUAUCUCUCUUUUCUUCUUUCUAUGUCCCCCUUCUUUUUUUUUUUUUACCUUUUUCGUCCCUCCUCCAAUCCGCUCUCUUUAUUAUCUCGAUUCUUUCUUUCACUUCUCUUCCUCCCUAUCUCCUCCGAUCCUCUCUUCUUUCUCUUUCCUUUAAUCACGUCUUAUUUUCUUUCCUCCUCUUUCCUCUUUCUCCCUCGACCCCCUCUUUUUGGAUCUCUUUGUCCAGUUUAAGUUGUAAGAUUUAAAAAUUUUAAAUCACAUACCAAACAAGUUUUGUAGUCUUAAAUAAAAUUAUUUUCAAGAAAAAUUCCUAAGAAAUGUUUUGAGAAAUGAUAAAAAAUUUCAAAUAGGAUAUCAAACAAGCAUUAAAAUUGCUAAUGUAUUUAGUGAUUAUACAGAGCAACUUAACUAUAGAAACGCUCCUCAAAUCACUCUAUACGUUUCCAUUUUGCUUUUCAAAUUAGCAUGUUUAUGUAUUGACAUUAGAAACAGCGGAAAAUACUUUUUACAUUCACCUCUUUCAGACCCUGCGUAAAGCGGGAGCCUUGUGCACUGAGUACGACCUUUAUGCAUUGACAUUAGAGAAAACGAGAAUGCUGAUGAAAAUUGGAUUAUUAGAGGUUAAACGGCAGCGAACCAUUCGGUGUUGAUAAUGAAUACGAAGAUGUGCGAUUUCACGUGAAUGCUGCUUGGAAGGCUAUGAAGUUUCUUGCACUGCUUUAGACUCAAACUCUCAAGGUUUUCAAGAGAUGAAAUUGAUGGGCAAAGGUCUUCAACAGAUAUCUCAUCCAAGCGAAGCUCUCUUAAUCCUUCCAGAUCUCCGACAUUUCCUGGAAAGCCCUUGAGCUUUGGACAACCAGAAAGAUUAAGAAAUUGCAGGGACUUGAGUUGAACAAAGCUGUUUGGAAGAAUCUCAAGUUCUCUGCAAUAUUCAAGAUUCAAAGUAACAAGCCCUGUAAGAUUGUUAAUUGAUCGAGGCAGUUCUUUUAUUGCAGUCCCUUGAAAAUAAAGCUUUGAAAGCUUCUCCAUAACUUCUGAAAUCUCUGGAAACUUCCCAAGUAUUGAACAAAAAGAGAGAUCAAGGGUUUCAAGAGAUUUCAUACUAAUGUUGCUUGAAAAGGUCUUGAGUUUGCCGCACCAACUUAGAUCCAAGAGGACAAGUUUUUCAAGGGCAGAAAUGGAUGGGUGAACCUCAUACAAACUUGUGCAUCUACCAAGAAUUAGCUUCUCAAGAUUCUUUGCCUCAGUGAAGUCAGGUGUUUCCUUAAGACGAUGAGAGCCUUUUAAAUUGAUAAUUUUCAACUUUCCCAGAGGCUGUCAAUAUACAAGGAAAAUAUGUGUUACCCACAUAAUAAGGCAAUUAAAAACUAAAGCAUUUAAAAGCAGUAUAUAGGCAAAUGAUGAAUGUACCUUAGUUCCUUUCCAGAGGUGUUCGACCCAACUAUGUUGCAUGUCAAUUUCAACAAGAUUCUCGGGGUUAAAAUUGGACGAUAAAGACUUUAGGGGACAAUUGUGCCAGAACAGAUAACUUAGUUUUUCAGAGAAACUUUAGAUCCUUGUAUUUCCAUUGACCAUAUGGCAUGUUCAGUGGUAGAAUAUUGUGGGUAUGGACUCUGAGUAGCCUUAGUUUUGUCAUUUUAAGAAAAGCGGUAUCUAAUUCCACCACAUUGUCUGAGUGUGGCCAAUGCACAAUUAUGCUUUCAACUGCUUCAGUAGCCUGGAUUACCAAAAUUGCACAUUGAAUGAGUACAAACUUAAGAUUAUAACGCCUAAUGCACAUGUUUCUCAUGAAUUGGAUUUUGGUCAAAGUUGAAGCUUUAUACUUUUUCUUAUUAGUAUUUUUUGAAUUUACUAAUAUUAAUGGGAGAAAGAAGAUUCGAAGCAAUUACAUUAAUGGAGGGGAGGGGAGGGGAGUGCAUUUCUCACCGUUUUUUUAGUUAACACAUGACGGACAUCUUCAUCGCUCCACAACCUACUGCAACUCCCAGGCUCUUCUAUAGAUUUCUCGCGUACGAUUUCGCGACCCAUUUCCUCUAGUAAAUCAUGCAUCUCGAGUACACCAUCAGAUGAGAUAGUGACAAGAGCUCUACCAACUAGAACGUCUAAUCCGGUAUGGGGAUGGAAGCCACAACCCUCCAUAAUCCUUGUUGCAAAGUCUUUCUUCAUUUGUUUAAAGAAACAUGCAAUAUCAAGAAAUAUUUCCUUCUGAUAUCUAUCUAGUCCAUCAAAGCUUGUUCUAAGCAUUUCCUGGAUUCCCGGGUUCGGAUUUCUGGCUAUUUUCUUUAACUCAUCUGUCCACGCACGUUCACUUUUGUUUUCGAGAAAUGCUCCCAAGACUUUGAGUGCUAAAGGCAAACCUUGAGCAUAUUUUGUGAAAUGGCCUGACAGAUCAAUGUAUUCUUCUGUGGGUUGCUUUCUACUAAAAGCAUACUGCAUAAACAGCUUGAGAGCAUCAUUGUUGUUUAAAAACUCGGGCUCAUAUAUCUCAUCACCAAGUCUGCUUAGUGACUGUUUAUCUCUAGUUGUUAUAAUGAUUCGACUUCCGCCACCAAAUGAAGGUUGCUUUCCAAUUAAGGCUUCAAUUUGGGAUGAACUCUCCACAUUAUCCACAACAACAACAACAACAACAAAGCCUUUUCCCACUAAGUGGGGUCGGCUAUAUGAAUCCUAGAACGCCAUUGCGCUCGGUUUUGUGUCAUGUCAUCCGUUAGAUCCAAGUACUCUAAGUCUUUUCUUAGAGUCUCUUCCAAAGUUUUCCUAGGUCUUCCUCUACCCCUUCGGCCCUGAACCUCUGUCCCGUAGUCACAUCUUCAAACCGGAGCGUCAGUCAGCCUUCUUUGCACAUGUCCAAAUCACCGGAGCCGAUUUUCUCUCAUCUUUCCUACAAUUUCGGCUACUCCUACUUUACCUCGGAUAUCCUCAUUCCCAAUCUUAUCCUUUCUCGUGUGCCCACACAUCCCACGAAGCAUCCUCAUCUCCGCUACACCCAUUUUGUGUGUACGUGUUGAUGCUUCACCGCCCAACAUUCUGUGCCAUACAACAUCGCUGGCCUUAUUGCCAUCCUAUAAAAUUUUCCCUUGAGCUUCAGUGGCCUACGACGGUCACACAACACGCCGGAUGCGCUCUUACACUUCAUCCAUCCAGCUCGUAUUCUAUGGUUGAGAUUUCCAUCUAAUUCUCCGUUCUCUUGCAAGAUAGAUCCUAGGUAGCGAAAACGGUCGCUUUUUGUGAUCUUCGCUAGAUUGCUCCGGUCAUUAGUGUGGAUAAGUAUAUAUAAAUGGAUAGAGAUAGGAAAGCAAACACAAGAUGUACGUGGUUCACCCAGAUUGGCUACGUCCACGGAAUAGAAGAGUUCUCAUUAAUUGUGAAGGGUUUACACAAGUACAUAGGUUCAAGCUCUCCUUUAGUGAGUACAAGUGAAUGAUUUAGUACAAAUGACAUUAGGAAAUAUUGUGGGGGAGAAUGAUCUCGUAAUCACGAAACUUCUAAGUAUCGGAGUGUGGUGUCGUCUUGACUUGCCUUAUCUGUCUCAUAGGUAGAUGUGGCAUCUUCUCUGGAAGUACUUUUUCCUCCAUCCAGGGGUGGUAUCUUUAACUGGUGGAGAUGCACAAGGUAAUGUAUCAAUUUCACUUGAAGCUUACUUGUAGUUUCAGGCUUGGUCAAGCGCGAUACAAACCAUGUAGUAGGAGUCCCCCAAGUCGCCGAGCUAGGGGGUCUGCUGAAAGAGGUGACAGACAAGGUAAGCAAUCAGAGCUCCGACUGAUUGUUCACCUUCUCCCCAUCUUGCAGCAGCAUGAAGGAUAAAGAGAAGAAAAAUGAGAAGAGAUGAUAUGAGAUACUUUUGCUUUUGAAGAAGUAACUUUUCCACAGGCUUAUUCUUGAACUGAGCUGGAGGGUUUUCUGGUUUCCUCCAGAGUAUAAGGCCGACUGAAGAAUUUGAGGGUCAAAACAAGUCCAUCAAAUCUAGAGUACGUUCCACCCUGCUGAUAUGGGAUACUUUUGCUUUUGACAGAGUAAUGGAUGUAUCGGCACGUGUGCUGUUACGCUUGUCUCCACAUGCUUCCUUGUAUCCUUCGCACUUGCCCUAUCUGUUCCUCAAGCAGAUGCGGAAUCUUCCCUGGAAACAUAAGAUGUUGAAGAUGAGUACUCGAGAGCAAUGCCAGGUAAGUAAUCAGGUAAGGGGUUCCAGGCAGUCAGUUCCUGGCUGGAAGCUUGAUUCCAAGUGCUGACUGAUUGCUCUCUUUCUCCUUGUCUUGCAGGUAAAAACAAGGCCAAAGGAAAAGACAGGGAAAAAGCAUGAUAUGGGAUACUCUUGCUUUUAACCCUGAUGAUAUGAGAUAUUCUUGCUCUAGUAUAGCUUGUUUGCAGAGGUAUUAUCGGGGGGAAAGAAAGCUGAAUAUUUCGAAAGGCUUCGUUGGGAGUGCCCUCUCAGAUAUGAUGAAGGGUUGAGCAUUUUUGCAGGUCUGCCUGUCCGUUGGGGAUGGAGGUCGACAUAUAUAGGAGUCUCCCUAACAACAAGUAGUAAUGCUAUUCCUUUACCCUGCUUGGUCAUAGCACGGUAGUGGGAGCUGCCAGUUUCACAUGUUUUAACUCUGUCAGAGCACUUUGAAAAAGUGGUCUGUGGUAUCUGGCUCUCGAGAUUCGGAGAACGAUGCCUCUUCGAUUUUUGAGAAAGCAAUCAUGCUGGGGGUCUGGCUCUCGAGAUUCGGAGAGCAGUGUCUCUUCGAUUUUUGAGGAAGUAAUCAUGUUGGGAGUCUGGCUCUCGAGAUUCGGAGGGCGGUGCCUCUUCGAUUUUGGAGCAAGCAAUCUUGUUGGGAGUGUUGUCUCGAAUGUGAGUAAAGGUUGGGCAUGUUUGCUAGUCUACCUUGCCACGAAGCACAAAGGUUGACACACAGGGACUUUCCAAUUAUCCAGCAAUGGUACUGUUCCUUUACCCUCUCUUCGAUUUUGAGAAAGUAGUCAUGUUGGGAGUCUGGCUCUCGAGAUUCGGAGGACGGUGCCUCUUCGAUUUUGGAGCAAGCAAUCUUGUUGGGAGUGUUUUCUCGAAUGUGAGUAAAGGUUGGGCAUGUUUGCUAGUCUACCUUGCCACGAAGCACAGAGGUUGACACACAGGGACUUUCCAAUUAUCCAGCAGUGGUACUGUUCCUUUACCCUUGUGGGUAAUAAUAUGGUAGCUAGACCUUCAAAAUUUAUGUGUCUAAACUUUGUUAGUGCUGUUUCUUUGCUAUUCUUUUACCUUUCUUGGUCAGAGCGAUGUAGUGGGAGCUGCAAGCUUCACGUGCUCAACUUUGGCAGAGAACUUUGGCAAAGUUAUCUGUGGUACCCAUGAGCUAUUGUUGCGUGUGGGAAGUGGGUGAUUGAACAGUAAGAUUCAUGUGCUUUCUACUUCACCAGAAGUCUUCGACAGAAUGCCCAUAAUUUCUGCAAAGCUGAGUGUGCGUGUGACAGGUGCUGACAAGGCUAGAAAAGUAGGUGCCUCUUCGAUUUCUGAGAUCGGCCCUCGUGGUCUCUGAGCAGCCCAGCUUUUGAGAAAGCGAGCGCCUCUUCGAUUGAUUCGGAGAACGAUGCCUCAUCGAUUUUUGAGAAAGCAAUCAUGCUGGGGGUCUGGCUCUCGAAGAUUCGGGGAGCAGUGUCUCUUCGAUUUUUGAGAAAGUAAUCAUGUUGGGAGUCUGGCUCUCGAGAUUCGGAGGGCGGUGCCUCUUCGAUUUUGGAGCAAGCAAUCUUGUUGGGAGUGUUUUUCUCGAAUGUGAGUAAAGGUUGGGCAUGUUUGCUAGUCUACCUUGCCACGAAGCACAGAGGUUGACACACAGGGACUUUCCAAUUAUCCAGCAAUGGUACUGUUCCUUUACCCUCUCUCUUCGAUUUUUAAGAAAGUAGUCAUGUUGGGAGUCUGGCUCUCGAGAUUCGGAGGACGGUGCCUCUUCGAUUUUGGAGCAAGCAAUCUUAUUGGGAGUGUUUUCUCGAAUGUGAGUAAAGGUUGGGCAUGUUUGCUAGUCUACCUUGCCACGAAGCACAGAGGUUGACACACAGGGACUUUCCAAUUAUCCAGCAGUGGUACUGUUCCUUUACCCUUGUGGGUAAUAAUAUGGUAGCUAGACCUUCAAAAUUUAUGGGUCUAAACUUUGUUAGUGCUGUUUCUUUGCUAUUCUUUUACCCUUCUUGGUCAGAGCGAUGUAGUGGGAGCUGCAAGCUUCACGUGCUCAACUUUGGCAGAGAACUUUGGCAAAGUUAUCUGUGGUACCCAUGAGCUAUUGUUGCGUGUGGGAAGUGGGUGAUUGAACAGUAAGAUUCAUGUGUUUUCUACUUCCCCAGAAGUCUUCGACAGAAUGCCCAUAAUUUCCGCAAAGCUGAGUGUGCGUGUGACAGGUGCUGACAAGGCUGGAAAAGUAGGUGCCUCUUCGAUUUCUGAGAUCGGCCCUCGUGGUCUCUGGGGAGCCCAGCUUUUGAGAAAGCGAGCGCCUCUUCGAUUUCUGAGAUCGGCCUUCGUGGUCUUUGAGCAGCCCAACUUUUGAGAAAGCAAACGCCUCUUCGAUUUCUGAGAUCAACCCUCGUGAUCUCUAAGCAGCCCAGCUUUUGAGAAAGCAAACGCCUCUUCGAUUUCUGAGCAGGCGCCUCUUCGAUUUCUGAAGCUCCGUCGAGUGCAGAUUUUUAUAUAGGGGCUGGCAUUAAGUUCCAAAGCACACUUGAAUCUCCACCAGUAGAAGCUUCAUUCUUGCACUUCUAAGAUCUUGAUUUGUCCGACCUCUUCUCUCUUCAACACCUUUGAAAAUGUCUGGCCCCUCCGACCGUCGUUUUGACUUGAACCUUGUUGAAGAGGCAGCCCCGCCUUCUCCAGACAACAUAUGGCGCCCAUCCUUCGUCUCCCCUACUGGUCCUCUUACCGUUGGGGAUUCCGUGAUGAAGAAUGAUAUGACCGCUGCGGUGGUGGCCAGGAACCUUCUCACUCCCAAAGAUAACAGACUACUUUCCAAACGGUCUGAUGAGUUAGCUGUUAAGGAUUCGCUGGCUCUCAGUGUUCAGUGUGCAGGUUCUGUGUCUAAUAUGGCCCAACGCCUAUUUGCUCGAACCCGCCAAGUUGAAUCAUUGGCGGCUGAAGUGAUGAGUCUCAAACAGGAGAUUAGAGGGCUCAAGCAUGAGAAUAAACAGUUGCACCGGCUCGCACAUGACUAUGCUACAAACAUGAAGAGGAAGCUUGACCAGAUGAAGGAAACUGAUGGUCAGGUUUUACUUGAUCAUCAGAGAUUUGUGGGUUUGUUCCAAAGGCAUUUAUUGCCUUCGUCUUCUGGGGCUGUACCGCGUAAUGAAGCUCCAAAUGAUCAACCUCUGAUGCCUCCUCCUUCUAGGGUUCUGUCCAGUACUGAGGCUCCAAAUGAUCCCCCUCCGGUGCCUUCUCUUUCUGGGGCUCUACCGACUGCUGAGACUUCUCCUAAGCAACCUUUGUGAAGGCUCCCUCUUGUGUGUUUAUUUUGACUCAUGUAUAUGUACAUAUUUGUAGCUUAUCGGGGAUAUCAAUAAAUAAGCUUUCCUUCAUUUCAACGUAUUGUGUUAAAUACACCAAAGCCUUCUUCGCUAAGUUCUUUGAAUUUUCUUUUGUUGAAGCUUGUAUGUUGAAGCUUUCUGAGUGGAGCAUGUAGGUUGGGGUAGUGUUCCCUUAAUUUCCCGAGUGAGGAAAACUUCUCGGUUGGAGACUUGGAAAAUCCAAGUCACUGAGUGGGAUCGGCUAUAUGAAUCUUAGAACGCCAUUGUGCUCGAUCCUGUGUCAUGUCCUUCGUUAGAUCCAAGUACUCUAAGUCUUUUCUUAGAGUCUCUUCCAAAGUUUUCCUAGGUCUUCCUCUACCCCUUCGGCCCUGAACCUCUGUCCCAUAGUCGCAUCUUCUAAUCGGAGCGUCAGUAGGCCUUCUUUGCACAUGUCCAAACCACCGUAACCGAUUUUCUCUCAUCUUUCCUUCAAUUUCGGCUACUCCUACUUUACCCCGGAUAUCCUCAUUCCUAAUCUUAUCCUUUCUCGUGUGCCCACACAUCCAACGAAGCAUCCUCAUCUCCGCUACACCCAUUUUGUGUACGUGUUGAUGUUUCACCGCCCAACAUUCUGUGCCAUACAGCAUCGCCGGCCUUAUUGCCGUCCUAUAAAAUUUUCCCUUGAGCUUCAGUGGCAUACGGCGGUCACACAACACGCCGGAUGCACUCUUCCACUUCAUCCAUCCAGCUUGUAUUCUAUGGUUGAGAUCUCCAUCUAAUUCUCCGUUCUUUUGCAAGAUAGAUCCUAGGUAACGAAAACGGUCGCUCUUUGGCAUUUCUUGAUCUCCGAUCCUCACCCCUAACUCGUUUUGGCCUCCAUUUGCACUGAACUUGCACUCCAUAUAUUCUGUCUUUGAUCGGCUUAGGCGAAGACCUUUAGAUUCCAACACUUCUCUCCAAAGGUUAAGCUUUGCAUUUACCCCUUCCUGAGUUUCAUCUAUCAACACUAUAUCGUCUGCGAAAAACAUACACCAAGGAAUAUCAUCUUGAAUAUGGGGUAUGGGCGGUAUAAACUAUUUUAAAAUGUAAAAUAUAAAAUAUAAAAUUAAUAAAUAAUAAUUAAUAAAAAUUGACUGUAUUAUGUACGAUGAAUAAUUACGAUCACGGAAUCCCUAGGAUCCCAAAAGAAAAAUUCGGUGAGAAUCCUUUUCCAGAAUUUUUAAUCCAACCGUUUCUUGUGUUAAAUUUAUCCCAAAAAUUAGUUUUGACCAAAAAUUGAUUUUUAGUCCAAGGGUUGGAGCAAAUUGAGAGAGUUAAAAAACUAAAAUUUAAGCUAAAGUCCAAAGAUUUGAGUUAGUCUAACAAAUACAAAUGAGAGAAAGUAACAUUCAUAUUUUAUUGCGGCUUUUAAUUUUUAUUUAAAAUGGUAUCUAAACUUGGUAUAAUUACUUACUUUUAAAAUUGAUAAAAAUGGUCUUUGAGAUUGUCUACCAUCAAUCAUUUUGGUCAUUCUGUGAAAAAUCUUAAUUAAAUUAGAGGUAUUUUUAUCAAUACCUUUGAAUUGAUGAUUUCUUCAAUUUAAUGAAAUAUUUUCACAAAUCAUGGUGCAUAUUAUUGGUGGUCCUAAGCUCCUUUAUAUGUGUAGCGUAUGCUUAUGUCAUGAUCUUUCUGCUUCUACUAAAUAUCAGAUGAUUUUGUUUUUACUAUUUGUUUUACUUUGUACAUGGGGUGGCUUUUAGGUUCCCCUGUUGUCUUACUUGCUAUGUUAUUUCCUCAACAAGGUUUGCUUUUAUGUUUCCCUCAUUUGUAAAUUUCCUUUUUUUUUGUUUUUACUUUAAUAUGAUAAUGGGAUGCUCGGUGAGCACUAUUACCCCAUGAUUUUCACGCAUGCACACAAAAAAAAAAAAAUUUAUCGUCACAACUAGCAUAUUUAUCAAAAUACUCGAAAAGUUAGAGUUUCUAGUCACAACUAACAUUGCCAUAUAGUCAAAAUGCUCAAAGUAUAGAAAAGAAAUAUAAAGAAGAUAUCAAGUUAGAUCAGUUACAUAGAGAGAGUCAUUCCCAUGGGAUUGCAUGAUUUCUCUAUCAUUGCAAUGUAUUUUUCAUAAAACUUCCUUUUCAUGAUUAGGGACUACGAUCCUUGGUGCUAUAAAUUCAGCAGUUGACUCAAGCACAGAAGUUAUCUACAGUGAGAAUCCUGAUGGUAAUUUUGUAAAGUCAAACAACUUUGCAUAUGCCAUUGUUGUGGUUGGCGAGUACCCUAUGCUGGGACUGCGGGAGACAGCCCAAACCUUACGAUGGCGGAACCUGGCCCAAGUGUCAUCAGCAAUGUGUGUGAAAGUGUAAUGUGCAUUGUUACCAUAAUAACUGGAAAACCUAUUGUAAUAGAACCAUACUAGAAAUUACGCCCGUUGUUGCGGAAACCAACUGUUACAGGCGUAAUCGAAUUAAUAAAACACAUUUAAGUUGAAUAAGAAUGUCCCCAUGAUUAGUCUUCUCGUUUAUUUUUCACAAACCAAUCACAUAUUAAAAAUCCAAGUACGAAAGCUUUGCAAAGAUAAAUAAAAAAUUUAUAUAACUAAUUAGACUUUGAACAUGCAAUCAAGGCACAUACUCGUAUACCUAAAAAUAGCAAGGAACCGGCUUCUUCCUCCCACAACCAGAGUUCCUGAAAUUUCCAAAGAAAGUAAAUCCGUUAGCAAUUCAGAGAAAUUGGAAGACCAAAUCGUAUUACAUUUGAGUUAAAUGAGCAAAGGUAAACCAAUUAAAUGAGAUACUAAACACAUUUCGAAUCUAUGAAAUAGAAGAAUAAUCAUGUUAGGACUCCCAAGAUGGUGUCCUAAGCACAAAAUUAUAGGUUAAGAAAGGUAAAUCCCAAUCCAAAGCUCCAACCUUUUAACUGAAAAUGAAACAAAAAAGCAUGGAUCAUAUAUUUCAGUUUUAUUAUUAGAUUUUCUAAAUCCCCAAUUUGAAUGUGUUGUAAAGACCUGCUAAAGAUAAUACCACCAACUAAGGGUGGCAAUCUGACCAGCGUUGUGCAUGUCAUGUCGACUCUAUGCAACUUAAUAUAUAACAUUUAAGCAGCAUUAGACGGUCUCCUAAGCAUCUACAAACCAUUUAACAUUAUUUCCCCAAUUUUAUUUCCCAAUUUUAUCAAAUGCUGCAUAAACGAUCACAAUUUACUCCCUUACAAUUUCCACCUAACUCCGAACAAACAAUAUUGAUAAAUCUUUAUCAUCACCUUUAACGAAACAGAUUACAGCGAAAAGAAAAAAAAAGUUACUAUGAAAUCAAAUUCUUCUAGAUGUCCAACCUAACCCAUCUAUGGGAAGGCAAGCAAUCGGACGUGCAUUUAGACCAAGCAAAAUAAAUUUUACAAUUUAUCAAAACAGCAACUGAUUCUCCCAAAGAGAACACAACAUACCAACAUAUUAUUCACCAUAUUCUAAGCUUUCAUUUUCGUUCUAUCUCUUUCGUUAUCUAAACUUAUAGUUAUCAAAACAGCAAUAAAAUCAUAGACAAACCUUCAAUCAUUUAUCAAAACUGAAUUAAUUAAACUUCUGCUCCGCAGUCCGUUAAUUUUAAUUGCAACUCUCAUUCUAAAAAUUUAAAAUUUUGCAUUGAAUAAUCAAACGCACUUGCACGUUACAUUCCUUUUAUUGGUUCUUGACAUAAUACAUUUUAGGAUUGAUGUAAUAAUAUCACUACAAACAUGAAUUGCGAUAGAUAUAGAAACCAAACUUGCACACAAAUGUUUGACUGAAUUCAGAACCACUUAAUUCAACAUAAAAAAUUACCUCACAUGCUUGCUCCCCUUCUGCUCUCGCAUCGUCGGCUCCGCUACUAAACGAUUAAUGAAGUCCCAAAGCAAAAACAGAACAAAAAACAUUUACCAAUCCAACAUUUCAACACAUGGUUUUGGCAGGUAUAACAUUUCAACAUAAGCAUGAUAUAGAAAGAAAGAAAUCCACAUGUCACUUUGUUUUUUCAGAAUCAACAAAAAGGGCAACUAGAAGAGAAUGUAACCAAUUUUAAAGAGUAAAUCAGUCUCCCAAUAAAGGAGAACAAUGCUGGCGGUAGACCAAGAGUAAGUACAACCCGACUGCAGCAACAAAAACACAAUUGACUUUCACACUACAGAAAUAAAUAAUAAAAAAACACAUACCUGCACCCAAUGCAUUGUUUUUUUUUUCCUCUGCAGUAUAAGAAUAAAAAAGAAUAACAUUCCCCUGAAACCAAAUUCAUCCCCCAAUUUCUUGCAACAAAGAGGGAGACCAACCUUGUGUUCUUGGAGAACAGUAUAACAAUUAGACACAAUCAGACUAAUCCAAGUUCCCACUAUGAUAAUGAAAAAUUAAAAUUAAUAAAAUAGCUCAAAUCAUAUCACAGUAUGUCACAAAGUACACCAUUUGAUAACCAAUAAAUUUAACAAAAAUAGAUUCAAUAGUCUAUAUCAAUUAAUCAAUAGUCUAAAGUAUGAAAAAAAUUGAUUUCAAAGCCUUCCUUAGGAACUUCACAACGUAUCAACAGACAUUAUGAUAUCGAUGAUGGUAUCCAUGAAACCCCAAGCUGCAAGCAAAUACUGCCUUUGGAAAUUUUCAAUAUAAAUGGUUUUGCAAACCAGCCACUAAUGAAACAUCUAAUUUCAAACAAAUAAUAAAAGCUUUCUUUAACUGACACAUUAUCCUUCUUCUUUCCUCCCAUUUACUUCCCACCCUCCCUAUUAAUCCCUCCAUUUUGAAACUCCUAUAUUCUUCCUAUUCUGUACAAAACCUGCCAAAUCAUUUCCUCACUUCUCAAAACCCAAAUAAUCACUUAAAAUGCACAAAAUUACAAUUAAAUCAAUAUUACAUUACACAAAAUGACAUUCAAAACCACAAUACACUAAAACCAAGCGUGAAUUCUACACCCUCAAUAAGUGGAAGCAUUCGUACCUCAAAUGAAUUUGCAACUUAAUUUUUUGCUGAAAAACCUUGACCUACAAAACCAAAUUACAUUUAGGGUAAAUUACAAAAAAUUAUCUCAACUAUUGGUGGCACGACACUUUCAUACCUCAUCUUUUAAAAUUGACAAUGUCAUACCUCAUUUUACGAAUUUAUGCCAACGUUAUACCUUCCGUUAGCUUGGCAUAAAUUUCUCAGUUAAAUGUUGAUGUGGCUUGAUCUGGGGCCCAUUUUCUGUUAAAAAAAUUAUUAAAAACUAAAAAAAAUCAUUUAAUUUUUUUUAAAUAUUAAAAUAAUAAAGAAAAGUUAUAUAAAAUAAAAAAAUAAAAAAACCAACCAACACCCAGUUCGUCCCCUUCCCCCCCCUUUCUCUCUCCUCCCCAUCUUCAUCUUCUUCCCCCUUCUUGCAACUGCAACCCAGAAAAAAGAAGAGAAAAAAAAAACCAAUUUGUCUUCCCCACACCCACUCUCCGCACCCAUCUUCAUCUUCUUCCCCCUUCCAAUUGCAACCCAGAAAAAAAAAAAAAAAAAAAAAAAACCAAUUUGUCAAUUUUUUUUUUCUUCCUCCUUUCUGGGUUGCAGGAAGAUGGGGAAGAGAGAAGGGGGAGGGACAAACUGACCUAAGGUUUUAUUUUAUUUUAUUUUUAUUUACUUUUCUUUAUUAUUUUAAUAUUUAAAAAAUACUAAAUAAUUUUUUAAUAGAAAGUGGGCCCCGAUUCAAGCCACGUUAGCAUUUAACUGAAAAAUUCAUGGUCAAGUAACGGAAGGUAUAACAUUGGCACAAAUUCGUAAGAUGAGGUAUGACAUUAUCAAUUUUAAAAGAUGAGAUAUGAAAGUGUCGUGACACCAAUAGUUGAGUUAGUUUUUUGUAAUUUACCCUUACAUUUAUCAACAAAAAGGAAUCAAUGUAAGAAAGCAAACACAAUACAGAAAAAAUGGCCAUUCAAGUCAGCUCUAUUUAGAUUAUAAUAACUCUCAAUUUAAGAAAGCAAAUGCAAUACAGAAAGCAAAUAUAAUCCAAAUUACCUUGAACACCACCAUCAUAUUUUUACUCCGUUACGUAUACAUGUCCUUUUCUUUCUAGAUAAACUUUAUUUCUUUGAAGUUUCUGCAGGGUGCAUUCCAAUUUAACCCUUUAAAUGUUUGUAUAAAACUUAGGGUGCGAUGGCAAGUGCCUUCGCCCAUAAACGGUAGAUCUCGGGUUCGAGACUUGGGAGCAGCCUCUCCAUAAAUGGGGAUAAGGCUAGCCGACAUUCACCUCUCUCAGACCCUGCGUAAAGCGGGAGCCUUGUGCACUGGGUACGACCUUUAUAUUCUCGCCUGCUUGCAAGUCAACUAAGUCAACUAUUCAACCUUCACAUAUUGUUUAUUAGUUUUCUUGAUACUAAUGUAUGGAAAGGGCUUAAAUCCUUCAAUGUAUGGAAAGGGCUUAAAUCCUUCAAUUAUGGAUAUACUAAUGUAUAAUCCUUUGUUCUAGACCAAUUUUGUUCUUAGUUCUUAGUUUUCUUGAUACAAACUUUUUUUUUUGUAUUAAUAUAAAUUUGUUUGCACCAAGGGAUGGGGUGGGAACAUAUCUUGAAAUAUGGCCACGUCCACAUUUGCAGCUGAAGAACACUUCAAUAUAAGUUUAAUUUGGUGCAACUUUAGGUUUAAUUUGGGUAUGUUCCACCACUUAAAAUUUGCAAUACUAAUUUUGAACAAUGAAUAAGAAAAUUCUACCAAGAGAGAGUAAAAUAGUAAAUCAACUUAAUUUCUGUAAAAAAAAAAAAAAAAACUUGCAAAAAUUUCAUGAAAUUUUGGUAAAAACGGAAAAGAAAAGGGUUAAGACAAUCAAGACUAAUGGAAAAUUUGAUAUUGUUUUAACAUUAACUUAGGUUGAUUUUGUUCACCAGCAUUAAUAAAACGAAUGACUUUAACUUGGGCAAGCAAACAAUUAAAUUAGACGUAAGCCAAGUAACUUAGAAGUUAACCAUAUGAAAAAAGGAAAACUAAUGAAAAAAGCUUGAAAACUUUGAGUUUUAAUGAUAAGGACAAAAUAAAGGGUAAAGUGAAUAGUACCAUGAUUGACUUUUUAGUGUAAAAAUGUGGUUUUUCGUUAAAGUGAAUAGUACCGAGUGCUUUUCGUUAAAGUUCCCUAUGAAAAAAAGCAAUGACAAUCAAACUGACCUCUUCUUUCAUAUGAAGUAUAAUCUGUUCUCUAUUUUGCCUUUGUGAAGAAUGCACUUUUCACUUCCUACACACAAAAUAGCAUACAUUGAAAAUGCUCCGUAGCAUUAUAAAAACUAUAGAUAUACAGUACUGUAUAUGUAUCAUAUACUAUAUUGUGUACGUAGUUGGACAUAAGGUAUAAAGAUUUACUAACAUAAUUAAGCUUAAAUUUAACAAAAGAAGUAAUUACAAAUUGAAAUCAAACGAUAUUCUAGUUAUUCAAAAAAAUUCUGGCUAAAUUUUACAAAUAGUAUUAUAAAUUGUUAAAAAAAAUAACACAAUUGAAAAAACUCACCACUCAAAUCUGCAAUUCUAUUAAAAACACAUCACUAAAAAUUAACUCCAACAAAAGGGGAUUAACAAAUUAUACCUUUUUAAGAGUUGGAAUUGUUUAUCUAUAUCUUGAGCUGGACCCGCUGGAUUUGAAUCCUCAGUUGACUUAGAGGGAGGAUAGGCAUGAAAAGAAGUGUAAGGUUCACUGGAUCAUAUUUUUAAGAGAUAGAGAGAGUUCUACUUUUCAACAGCGGAGAGAACAUAUUCAAUCUUGGGCAUAAAAAGAAAAAAUAGAAGCUUCAUAGCACAAUAAUUAACCACAAUCCUCUGUUUUUCUAAAUGCAAAUAGAAAAAAGGAAUCAAAAUAUUCAACACAAAAUCUUCACAUUAGCUCAAGAACUAUAUUAUUUCCAGUGCUUUCCAAUUUUCCAGCACGGAACAACAAACAUAAAAGCAUUAAAAAUAUAUAAUUGCAAAAAAAAAAAAUAGCAAUUCCAAGAAACUAAAUGCGAAGUUAGCCAGAUCUGCACAGUAACACAAACCCAUUACUUGAAUUAAGAGCAUUGUGGCUCACCCUGAAAACACCCAUUUUGCAAUGAGGAAGAGAGACACUGCUGCUCUGGCUGCUGAGUGCUGCUGGCUCCAAAGCAGUUUGUCUACCAGAACUUUAUAAGAGCAAGUCCAACCCUUCAAAGCCACUGUAAAUCGCCAAGGAUUUACAUCAUUCUGCUUGCCUAAAAAAAGCAAACAAAAAAGAAAAAAAUGGAAAGUAUAAAAUUCAAAUGACCCUUGAUGAACAUAACCCAUAAAUUUUCCUUGUAUUCCAUAAAUGCAAUAAAACAAAAGUCAGUGUCUCCAUUUUCCAAAAAACCAAGCAAGCAAGCAACAAAUUUCGAAAACCCUAAUUCUAACCAAUUUAGAACUAUAACCAAGUAAACCACUUAAUCAACAAAACUCACUAAUUUUCUCAAAAACCCAACAAAUUUAAAGGAUAUCCAGAUGAUAAAUCCCAGUAAAAUCCCAAAUUUGAAAACCAGAAGAAAAAAAAAGACAAAGAGGCUUAUCUUUCUUCACUAAUCGGGCACUAACAGAAAAACCUUAAUUCAUAUUAUUCAGAUUACAAAUACACAGGGACCAAAUAGCUAAUAAUGCUGGACAAUUUGUCCCCAAUCCAACACAAAAAUUGUUCUUGUUAUACAUACGAUACCCGCCUAAAAUAUCAACCAAUUCCAAAUUAAAAUGGAAAAUGAAACGGAGCAUCAUAAAUUGAAUACAAUUUGGAGAAAAUUAUCUCACUUGGGGCGCCGAAUCUCCAAGAGGUCCCAAUCCGAGCAGGCUCCAAAUUGGGUUGUUGAAAAUGGUGAUCAAGGAAGGGUUUUGGAGGUGGGUCUGAUCAGAACAAAGCCGAAGCCAUUAGGUUUGGGGGGAGAGGAACAAAGAGCCACUGAGAGAGAGAGAGAGAGAGAGAGAGAGCAUGCGUUGUCCUUUUCUUCUAUCCGGCCACUGGAUCGCAGUUCCUUCACAAAAAUUAUACACGUGUGUUACUUUUUCAAGUUCUAGUUUUGUAAUCACCUAAUCGAUCAUAACACCAUUCGCAAAUAUGACAAACAUAAACAAUUAAGUCAGCAACAUGAUAUGCCAUUCCUUUCAUAUUGCACAUAUAAAGAAAAAAGAAAUGAACCAAAAUAAAAUUAUACUAUAAUCCAAUUAUAUGAAGGCCAAACUUGAGUUGGGGCUGGUGGCCGUUGACCACAUCAUCGCCUCCAUUUGAGAGAAAAGGGUUUGUUUGGCUUUUUUGUCCAAUUAUUUACACUAACCAUAUAUAAAUGAAGAAGGACAACAUCUAUGUUGCUCCCUUCUUGUGAUCCAAAUUUGAAGAGGGCCGAUGGGGAGGGGCAGUUAUAAGUGUCAUCCUCUUUGUUUCUCCUAUCCCUGCAUUAUCAACCAAAAAAACAUCAAACCAAGUGCAAUACAAUCCAAUUUAAUGCUCACAAAAUUUGAGCUCCAAACAAGGUCACAGGUCAGCAAUCGCCUAAUCGAUCAUAACACCAUUCGCAAACAUAAACAAUUAAGUCAGCAACUUGAUAUGCCAUCCCUUUCAUACAAACACAGAUUGCAAUUCAUAUAUGCCGCAUUAUUUACAAACAAUUACAAAUCAAGAAACAAUUAAAUCAUCAUCAUGAAUUAUAGUGUAAUAACAGCAUCAUCAAUUAGAAGAGACAGAGCUACAUGGCAAUAAACAUAUAGAGAGUAAACAUACAGAGAGGAACUGCUUCAUAUCCUUCCCAAAAGCAAUCUUCCGCAGGAUAACAAAAGAGCGGUUGAUCUCUGAUCUAAUUGCAGACGCAAUCUGCAGAACCGACUUCUAUGGAAUUUUAACUUGUGAAAUGUGGGGUGGAGAUUUGAAUGUAACAAAUUGGUGUUAAGUGAAUAAUUCCAAACAUAUGAAAUUUAGAUAAUCACAUCCGAACGCAAACAGAAGAAUUAAAUAAAGAAUCAAAGGCAUAUGCAAUCUAAUUAGACAAAUAAGUGAACUUUCCCAUGCCAAAAUCCGAAAGGCCAACAGAUAUCUCUCAUUACAGGACUUAAUACAUAUCUUAAAAGACAAAACUUAAAAUAACAAAAAUUAGGUGAAACAAUUGAAGAGAACAUAAUCCUUGUAACCAAUCCGGAAAAGAUGCUUUUAAAUCCCAGAAAACAAAUUAUGAGAAGUUUUUAAAAAAACCAUCAUUUCAAUUAUUUUCCAGUCUUACAUUUGGGAAUAAACAGAAAAUAUAACUAAAAUGCCAACUUUCUCAAAAAACUACAACUACUUUAACAAAUUUCCAUCACUCAACACUGAAAAAUGAGAAUCACGAAGCAACGAAGAACGGAACACGCUAGAAAUAACAACAAAGCCUUUUCCCACUAAGUGAGGUCGGCUAUAUGAAUCCUAGAACGCCAUUGCGCUCGGUUUUGUGUCAUGUCCUCCGUUAGAUCCAAGUACUCUAAGUCUUUUCUUAGGGUCUCUUCCAAAGUUUUCCUAGGUCUUCCUCUACCCCUUCGGCCCCGAACCUGUCUCGUAGUCACAUCUUCGAACCGGAGCGUCAGUAGGCAUUCUUUGCGCAUGUCCAAACAACCGUAACCGAUUUUCUCUCAUAUUUCCUUCAACUUCGGCUAUUCCUACUUUACCUCGGAUAUCCUCAUUCCCAAUCUUAUCAUUUCUCGUGUGCCCACACAUCCCACGAAGCAUCAUUAUCUCCGCUACACCCAUUUUGUGUACGUGUUGAUGCUUCACCGCCCAACAUUCUGUGCCAUACAACAUCGCUGGCCUUAUUACCGUCCUAUAAAAUUUUCCCUUGAGCUUCAGUGACCUAUGACGGUCACACAACACGCCGGAUGCACUCUUACACUUCAUCCAUCCAUCUUGUAUUCUAUGGUUGAGAUCUCCAUCUAAUUCUCCGUUCUCUUGCAAGAUAGAUCCUAGGUAGCGAAAACGGUCGCUUUUUGUGAUCUUCGCUAGAUUGCUCCGGUCAUUAGUGUGGAUAAGUAUAUAAAUGGAUAGAGAUAGGAAAGCAAACACCAGAUGUACGUGGUUCACCCAUAUUGGCUACGUCCACGGAAUAGAGGAUUUCUCAUUAAUUGUGAAGGGUUUACACAAGUACAUAGGUUCAAGCUCUCCUUUAGUGAGUACAAGUGAAUGAUUUAGUACAAAUGACAUUAAGAAAUAUUGUGGGAGAAUGAUCUCGUAAUCACGAAACUUCUAAGUACCGGCGUGUGGUAUCGUCUUGACUUGCCUUAUCUGUCUCGUAGGUAGAUGUUGCAUCUUCUCUGGAAGUACUCUUCCAUCCAGGGGUGGUAUCUUUAACUAGUGGAGAUGCACAAGGUAAUGUAUUAAUUUCACUUGAAGCUUACUUGUAGUUUCAGGCUUGGUCAAGCGCAAUACAAACCAUGUAGUAGGAGUCCCCCAAGUCGCCGAGCUAGGGGAUCUGCUGAAAGAGGUGACAGAUAAGGUAAGCAAUCAGAGCUCCAAGCAAUCAGUCCUAGAUCAGAACUUUGAUUUCGAGUUCCGGCUGAUUGUUCACAUUCUCCCUAUCUUGCAGGCAGCAUGAAGGAUAAAGAGAAGAAAAAUGAGAAGAGAUGAUAUGGGAUACUUUUGCUUUUGAAGAAGUAACUUUCCACAGGCUUAUUCUUGAACUGGGCUGGAGGGUUUUCUAGUUUCCUCCAGAGUAUAAGGCCGACUGAAGAAUUUGAGGGUCAAAACAAGUCCAUCAAAUCUAUAGUACGUUCGACCCUGCUGAUAUAGGAUACUUUUGCUUUUGACAGAGUAGUGGAUGUAUCGGCACGUGUGCUGUUACGCUUGUCUCCACAUGCUUCCUUGUAUCCUUCUCACUUGCCUUAUCUGUUCCUCAGGCAGAUGCGGUAUCUUCCCUGGAAGCAUAAAAUGUUGAAGAUGAGUACUCGAGAGCAAUGCCAGGUAAGUAAUCAAGUAAGGGGUUCCAGGCAGUCAGUUCAUGACUGGAAGCUUGAUUCCAAGUGCUGAUUGAUUGCUCUCUUUCUCCUUGUCUUGCAGGUAAGAACAAGGCCAAAGGAAAAGACAGGGAAAAAGCAUGAUAUGUGAUACUCUUGCUUUUAACCCUGAUGAUAUGAGAUAUUCUUGCUCUAGUAUAGCUUGUUUGCAGAGGUAUUAUCAGGGGGAAAGAAAGCUGAAUAUUUCGAAAGGCUUCUUUGGGAGUGGCUCUCAGAUAUGACGAAGGGUUGAACAUUUUUGCAGGUCUGCCUGUCCGUUGAGGAUGGAGGUCGACAUAUAUAGGAGUCUCCCUAACAACAAGUAGUAAUGCUAUUCCUUUACCCUGCUUGGUCAUAGCACGGUAAUGGGAGCUGCCAGCUUCACAUGUUUUAACUCUGUCAGAGCACUUUGAAAAAGUGAUCUGUGGUAUCUGGAAAGCUGAUGUUGCGUGUGAAGAUUACAGACAAGCUUUAUCCAAGGAGAUCCAGCUCUUGAAGUUGGGAAAGUGGUGCCUCUUCGGUUUUCGAACAAGUAAUCCUGUCGGAGAUCUGGCUCUCGAGAUUCGGAGAACGAUGCCUUUUCGAUUUUUGAGAAAGCAAUUCUGUUAGGGGUUUGGCUCUCGAGAUUCGGAGAGCGGUGUCUCUUCGAUUUUUGAGAAAGUAAUCAUGUUGGGAGUCUGGCUCUCGAGAUUCGGAGGGCGGUGCCUCUUCGAUUUUGGAGCAAGCAAUCUUGUUGGGAGGGUUUUCUCGAAUGUGAGAAAAGGUUGGGCAUGUUUGCUAGUCUACCUUGCCACGAAGCACAGAGGUUGACACAUAGGGACUUUCCAAUUAUCCAGCAGUGGUACUGUUCCUUUACCCAUGUGGGUAAUAAUAUGGUAACUAGACCUUCAAAAUUUAUGUGUCUAAACUUUGUUAGUGCUGUUUCUUUGCUAUUCUUUUACCCUUCUUGGUCAGAGCGAUGUAGUAGGAGCUGCAAGCUUCACGUGUCUCAACUUUGUCAGAGAACUUUGGCAAAGUUAUCUGUGGUACCCAUGAGCUAAUGUUGCGUGUGGAAAGUGGGUGAUUGAACAGUAAGAUUCAUGUGCUUUCUACUUCACCAGAAAUCUUCGACAUAAUGCCCAUAAUUUCCGCAAAGCUGAGUGUGCGUGUGACAGGUGCUGACAAGGUUGGAAAAGUAGGUGCCUCUUCGAUUUCUGAGAUCGGCCCUCGUGGUCUCUGAGCAGCCCAGCUUUUGAGAAAGCAAGCCUCUUCGAUUUCUGAGAUCGGCCUUCGUGGUAUUUGAGCAGCCCAACUUUUGAGAAAGUAAACGUCUCGUGGUCUCUGAGCAGCCCAGCUUUUGAGAAAGCAAACGCCUCUUCGAUUUCUGAAGCUCCGUCGAGUGCAGAUUUUUAUAGAGGCUGGCAUUAAGUUCCAAAGCACACUUGAAUCUCCACCAGUAGAAGCUCCAUUCUUGCACUUCUAAGAUCUUGAUUUGUCCGACCUCUUCUCUCUUCAACACCUUUGAAAAUGUCUGGCCCCCUCCGACCGUCGUUUUGACUUGAACCUUGUUGAAGAGGCAGCCACGCCUUCUCCAAACAACAUAUGGCGCCCAUCCUUCGUCUCCCCUACUGGUCCUCUUACCGUUGGGGAUUCCGUGAUGAAGAAUGAUAUGACCGCUGCGGUAGUGGCCAGGAACCUUCUCACUCCCAAAGAUAACAGACUACUUUCCAAACGGUCUGAUGAGUUGGCUGUUAAGGAUUCUCUGGCUCUCAGUGUUCAGUGUGCAGGUUCUGUGUCUAACAUGGCCCAACGCCUAUUUGCUCGAACCCGCCAAGUUGAAUCAUUGGCGGCUGAAGUGAUGAGUCUCAAACAGGAGAUUAGAGGGCUCAAGCAUGAGAAUAAACAGUUGCACCGGCUCGCACAUGACUAUGCUACAAACAUGAAGAGGAAGCUUGACCAGAUGAAGGAAUCUGAUGGUCAGGUUUUACUUGAUCAUCAGAGAUUUGUGGGUUUGUUCCAAAGGCAUUUAUUGCCUUCGUCUUCUGGGGCUGUACCGCGUAAUGAAGCUCCAAAUGAUCAACCUCUGCUGCCUCCUCCUUCUAGGGUUCUGUCCAGUACUGAGGCUCCAAAUGAUCCCCCUCCAGUGCCUGCUCUUUCUGGGGCUCUACCGACUGCUGAGACUUCUCCUAAGCAACCUUUGUGAAGGCUCCCUCUUGUUUGUUUAUUUUGACUCAUGUAUAUGUACAUAUUUGUAACUUAUCGGGGAUAUCAAUAAAUAAGCUUUCCUUCAUUUCAACGUAUUGUGUUAAAUACACCAAAGCCUUCUUCGCUAAGUUCUUUGAAUUUUCUUUUUGUUGAAGCUUGUAUGUUGAAGCUUUGUGAGUGGAGCAUGUAGGUUGAGGUAGUAUUCCCUUAAUUUCCCGAGUGAGGAAAACUUCUCGGUUGGAGACUUGGAAAAUCCAAGUCACUGAGUGGGAUCGGCUAUAUGAAUCUUUGAACGCCAUUGUGCUCGGUCCUGUCAUGUCCUCCGUUAGAUCCAAGUACUCUAAGUCUUUUCUUAGAGUCUCUUCCAAAGUUUUCCUAGGUCUUCCUCUACCCCUUCGGCCCUGAACCUCUGUCCCAUAGUCGCAUCUUCUAAUCGGAGCGUCAGUAGGCCUUCUUUGCACAUGUCCAAACCACCGUAACCGAUUUUCUCUCAUCUUUCCUUCAAUUUCGGCUACUCCUACUUUACCCCGGAUAUCCUCAUUCCUAAUCUUAUCCUUUCUUGUGUGCCCACACAUCCAACGAAGCAUCCUCAUCUCCGCUACACCCAUUUUGUGUACGUGUUGAUGCUUCACCGCCCAACAUUCUGUGCCAUACAGCAUCGCCGGCCUUAUUGCCGUCCUAUAAAAUUUUCCCUUGAGCUUCAGUGGCAUACGGCGGUCACACACAACACGCCGGAUGCACUCUUCCACUUCAUCCAUCCAGCUUGUAUUCUAUGGUUGAGAUCUCCAUCUAAUUCUCCGUUCUUUUGCAAGAUAGAUCCUAGGUAACGAAAACGGUCGCUCUUUGGUAUUUCUUGAUCUCCGAUCCUCACCCCUAACUCGUUUUGGCCUCCAUUUGCACUGAACUUGCACUCCAUAUAUUCUGUCUUUGAUCGGCUUAGGCGAAAGACCUUUAGAUUCCAACACUUCUCUCCAAAGGUUAAGCUUUGCAUUUACCCCUUCCUGAGUUUCAUCUAUCAACACUAUAUCGUCUGCGAAAAGCAUACACCAAGGAAUAUCAUCUUGAAUAUGUCCUGUUAACUCAUCCAUUACCAACGCAAAAAGGUAAGGACUUAAGGAUGAGCCUUGAUGUAAUCCUACAGUUAUGGGAAAGCUUUCGGUUUGUCCUUCAUGAGUUCUUACGGCAGUCUUUGCUCCUUCAUACAUAUCCUUUAUAGCUUGGAUAUAUGCUACUCGUACUCCUUUUCUUCUCUAAAAUCCUCCAAAGAAUGUCUCUUGGGACCCUAUCAUACGCUUUUUUCCAAAUCUAUAAAGACCAUGUGUAAAUCCUUUUUCCCAUCUCUAUAUCUUUCCAUCAAUCUUCGUAAGAGAUAGAUUGCCUCCAUGGUUGAGCGCCCUGGCAUGAACCCGAAUUGGUUGUCCGAAACCCGUGUCUCUUGCCUCAUCUAUGCUCAAUGACUCUCUCCCAGAGCUUCAUUGUAUGACUCAUUAGCUUAAUACCCCUAUAGUUCAUGCAAUUUUGUACGUCGCCCUUAUUCUUGUAGAUAGGCACCAAAGUGCUCGUUUCGCCACUCAUUUGGCAUCUUCUUCGUUUUCAAAAUCCUAUUGAAAAGGUCAGUGAGCCAUGUUAUACCUGUCUCUCCCAAAACUUUCCACACUUCGAUUGGUAUAUCGUCUGGGCCCACUGCUUUUCUAUGCUUCAUCUUCUUCAAAGCUACAACCACUUCUUCCUUCCGGAUUCGACGAUAAAAAGAGUAGUUUCUACACUCUUCUGAGUUACUCAACUCCCCUAAAGAAGCACUCAUUUCAUGUCCUUCAUUGAAAAGAUUAUGAAAAUAACCUCUCCAUCUGUCUUUAACCGCGUUUCUCUGUAGCAAGAACCUUUCCAUCCUCAUCCUUGAUGCACCUCACUUGGUUUAGGUCCCUUGUCUUCUUUUCCCUUGCUCUAGCUAGUUUAUAGAUAUCCAACUCUCCUUCUUUGGUAUCUAGUCGCUUAUACAUAUCGUCAUAAGCCGCUAACUUAGCUUCUCUCACAGCUUUCUUCGCCUCUUGCUUCGCUUUUCUAUACCUUUCACCAUUUUCAUCGGUCCUAUCCUUGUAUAAGGCUUUACAACAUUCCUUCUUAGCCUUCACCUUUGUUUGUACCUCCUCAUUCCACCACCAAGAUUCCUUUUGGUGUGGGGCAAAGCCCUUGGACUCUCCUAAUACCUCUUUUGCUACUUUUCGGAUACAACUAGCCAUGGAAUCCCACAUUUGGCUAGCUUCCCCCUCUCUAUCCCACACACACUGGGUGAUUACUUUCUCUUUGAAAAUGACUUGUUUUUUCUUCUUUUAGAUUCCACCAUCUAGUCCUUGGGCACUUCCAAGUCUUGUUCUUUUUUCUCACUCUUUUGAUAUGUACAUCCAUCACCAACAAGCGAUGUUGAUUAGCCAAGCUCUCUCCUGGUAUAACUUUGCAAUCCUUACAAGUUAUACGAUCCCCUUUCCUCAUUAGAAGAAAAUCUAUUUGUGUUUUUGACGACCCACUCUUGUAGGUGAUCACAUGUUCUUCUCUCUCUUCUUAAAGAAGGUGUUGGCUAAGAAGAGAGAUCAUAUGCCAUUGCAAAAUCCAAGAUAGCUUCCCCAUCCUCGUUUCUCUCCCCAAAACCAUGGCCACCAUGAAAACCUCCAUAGUUGCCUGUCUCCCUGCCCACGUGUCCAUUUAAAUCUCCUCCUAUAAAUAACUUCUCCGUCUGAGCAAUUCCUUGCACCAAGUCUCCAAGGUCUUCCCAAAAUUUCUCCUUCGAACUCGUAUCCAACCCUACUUGAGGUGCGUACGCACUAAUCACAUUGAUAAGUUCUUGUCCUAUUACAAUCUUGAUUGCCAUGAUUCUAUCUCCUACCCUCUUGACAUCUACAACAUCUUGUGUCAAGGUCUUGUCCACGAUGAUGCCAACACCGUUUCUCGUUCUAUUUGUGCCCGAAUACCAAAGUUUAAACCCUGAGUUUUCUAGAUCCUUUGCCUUAAGACCAACCCACUUAGUUUCUUGUAGGCACAUAAUAUUUAUCCUUCUCCUCACCAUAACUUCCACUACUUCCAUAGAUUUUCCCGUUAAGGUUCCUAUAUUCCACGUUCCUAAACGCAUUUUGCUCUCUUGAACUCUACCCUUCUGUCCUAGCUUCUUCACCCUCCCCCAUCUAAUAGGAUCAAAGUACUUCUUUUGUGUGUUCCGUGUAAAGUUGAUAGGAGCAUAUGCUUCUAAACAACUUUGAGUGGAGUCGUUCGAAAAGAAGUUUCUAUGGCCCCCUUGCUCAUUUAACACUGCAUCCGGGUGCCGAUGGAGAUACAACGACCCUUGCUCACUUAUCACUGUGCUCGGGCCACACAGCGCGCCACUUACUGGUGACACCCUAGCUUUAGCGCAAUUUCGUUCUGGAUUCAUUUUCAUAAGGAUUCGACGUAAUCAUGGAGUGCCGGCUGUCGACUACCUGACGCCCUCCCCCUCCUCCUUUAUCCAGGCUUAGGACCGGCAAUGUAAGAUAAACUUACACAGGCGGAGUUAACGGAACACGCUAGAACUGAAACAUUAAAAACAACAUGUACCCAUUUCAAAGACCAAAAAUCCUGCAAGGACAAAAAAAAAAUCCGAGAAAAUCAGUACAUCAGUACUCCCUGCAAAACCCCAAAAUCAGAAAAUUAGAAAAAGAACCCAAAUCAGUGGCAUGGUCCUUGUUUCUCCAUUAAUCAGUAGGUAAUGACCUAAUGAAAAAGAACCCAAAACAGACGGCUUAAAUUAUGGAAAGUGCUUAUAAAGCUCAUGAAUAACUUUCAAAGCCUGCAUUCCACAGUGUGCACACGCACAAACAUAAAAUAUACAUGCAUAGUUAAUUUUAGACAAUAAUACCUCAGAACAUAAGUUGCAAUUUGGGACUAUUUGGUUGACUCAAAAGAAAUUGAUGGGUUAGAAAACCACAAAAAAAAUACAAAGACGGAUGUUUUUAUGUCGUUCAUUUCUUACGUCGACAAAACACACACACCUGUGUUUUAAUGCUCCUCCAAUACUCAAUGAGAAGGCACCAGGCAAAAAGAAGGUCAAGGCUGGAAAGAAGCUUCCAAAGAGAACAAUAUAUAAAGCAGACCACAAAAAUUAGACAAAACCCAAAAACUAAACAGUAGAAAAACCUCUAAAAUAUAUAAAUAUAUAUAUAAUUAAAUAAUUUAAAAAAAAACUAAACUGCAAAUACUCUAGAAAUCGUAAAAUGAACUGCAAACCCGUCAAUCAUUUCCCAAAACCACAUAACCAAAGAGUAAAAAAGGGAGUACGGGAGAGAGAAGCAGCCAAAAUACAGAGAAGAUGGCAAGAGAGAGAGAGAGAGAGAGAAAAAUGAAUUAUUUUGGUGCCUCUGGUUCCUGCCUUUGUUCUUUGUUUUUCAUUUAUUUAUAGGUAACUUGCUCAAGUCCAAAGGCAAUUAAACAUGAUUAGUAAAGCACCAUAAUAAAGCAUGAGAGAUAUCUAUUUUAAUUAAAUCUGUUGUGGGCUCACUGUGAUUGUACAUCAUCAUCAUAAAUAAUGCAUGCUUGAACCCCAUUUUAGUUUCAUGCCUAUCAUAAUUAAAUCAUGGAUGGUCAAGAAGCAUAGGACUGAGAAAUCAGAGCCUAAUUUCCAAUAUCAAAAGAGUACAAAUUAUUCAACUUAAACGCUAAUUUCGUUAACGAAGAUUAAAAUAGGCGUGAAAUCCAUACAAUUUAUACGUUACCAUUGAUUCAAGUUCUGGUAGGUAUCCAUGGAAACUAUCCGUUGCCACUCUCUCAGUUCCCAUAUUUUCUGUAUGUUUCAUUAAACAAUAUAAACUUUUGAUGCUCUUCCAUCUGGAGCUAAAACAGAUUACCAAUAAUAACAAAGAGGUCUAAAUAAUAGAAAUCAAAAUUUUGAUUUUUGCGGACUUUAGAGAAUCUGCAAACUUUAGCCUAACAUUAUGUGAUUGCCUCACUUCUUCAGUAACUCAGAGGAGGUGAAUUACUCAAAGUAUGGAGGACUUCUGCUAACAUAUUUCAAGCACUUGUAACAUUAAAUGUAAUGACAGGUUGACAUUAUUAUUAUUUUUUUUUUGUAAAGAAUUGUUGCAAGAAGUUUGACCCUUUGUCUUUUUAUUUCUGUAAGGAUUUAUAGGUACAUAUAAAAUCCAUAUUAUAUAUGGUUCACAGAUGAGAGUACUUCAAACACCAAAUAUUCAUUCAUGAUUGGAGAUAAGAAAGCUUACUAAGAGGCAAUCGCCUUUGUGAUGUUUACUUUUGUGCUUAUCCUUUGUCUUCUUUUCUGAGGCAAAAUAUGUCAAUGUGAUAAGUAAUUUCCCAUAAAGAAUAUCAUCCUCAAUAGGCUAAACAACUACAAUGGUUAGUCAAAUAAUGUACUUUCAUGUAGUUAAUCUCCUCGGUUUGUGUUUACUUUUUCAAUAUCAAAACAUCUCGAAGAAACAACGUUUUCCCUUACUCUACAAACACCGAAUGUGCCCGAUAAACCACUAACAACGCCAUUACUCUAAUUCGACUGCAGAGUGAGAGUUAAGAUAAGAAGAUACUCACAGGCCAAAACGGAUGACAUCACCAACACAUAAAUCCAAAAGCCACAACCAAAUUUAAUUUUGUUUUUACGUUGAAUUUUUUUUUCUUGAAUCCGUUUGGAUGCUGAGAACGUGUGGUAUGGGAUUAUUAAUUACCGGCAGGGAAAAUGACGAUUUCUCCUAUUUGCAUUUGCAGGUGGAGGAAUCAUAGCCGAGGGAUUGCAGUUCGUCGGUGACCAUCUUCCUCAAAUCGUCUUUUUGUUUGAGAUUCUUGUUUGCUUCGACGAUCCUCGCCGUAUCAGCCAGGAGGUUUCUCUCCGAGACGCUCACGCAUGGAAUCAGACUCUGAUUAAACAAUAAUUAAGCAAACAAUCAAUCACCCAUAUUCAUAUUCUGUGUUUGGUUGCCAAGAAACCGCGAGAAAUGCAAAAACAAUUUACUAAUAAAAAAGUGUAAUCAAAGCAACCAUUAUUUAUACUUUUGUACCUUAAGAAUAUCUGAGGCGUCGCCACCGAACGAACCGGAGGAGAUUGAAUCACCGAAACCUCCACCGAAUAUAUCGAACUCGUCGUCGGAGCUGUCAUUGCUGUUGCCGUGAAAGCAAUUGCAGCGGUUCCGUCCACAUUUCGGCGGAGGUUGCUUCUCGUUGCUUUCUUCGAUGAAAUUCUGAACCAUCUUCGCCAAGCAGACCGAACUUGGCUUGAACUCAGGCCGCGGCGCUGACGGUCCCUUCAUCCUUGCUGAUAUUGAGGCCGCAGGAGUGGCGAGUUGUGAUGUGGACUCAGGCCUCUCGGCCUCUGGGUUUUACGGAGAAGGGGAAGAUGGUGAGGGUUGAGAGAGAUGCAGAGUCUGAAAGAGAGUGAAAGAGAAAGGGUUAUAAGAGAGGUUGAGUGUGACAGAGACGAUUGAAGCAAAACGCACGAUGAUAAACGCGUGUGCUCGGUUCAGAAUGGCAAGCCCGUAAAUACCCAAUGACAGAUUUGUAAAUAAAAUGAAAUUCACUUCAAAAUACUGUUCAUUUUAAUAGUGCCUAUUGAAAACCUUACUUUAGACUAAAGUAACUAAAAAUUAUGUUUGCGCGUUGCUACUAGAACCAACUGUUUCAAACGUAAUUGGAUGGACAAAACACAUUUAAGUUGAAUAAAUUCAAAACAAUUACGAACAAACAGAAGGAUACAUGAGUGCAUGAGGCCGGUAAGAUCAGCAGUUUUGCUUUUGUACACUUGUAAGUGAGUUGACAUAUAAACACAUUGCACAAUGAGUGAGAAUAAACUCUACGUGUUUGAAACUUCAUUUUAAACUAACAUUCACACAAUCCUAAUCAUUUGUGAAUUACCAUAUUCUUAUCAUUAUUCCAAUAUCUCUUCAUGUAGAUGGGGUGAGCUCAUACCAGUCACUAAGAGCAUUUUUGAUACUCUACUUGAAUCCAACUUUUUAAAUUCAAAAACAAUUUUCAAGUUUUAAGCCUUAAAAACUUGUUUGGUAAGAUUAUUUUCAAAAAUUGAACUUAAGAUUAACUCAAAACUAUAGUUUACUCUCUAAAAACACAAAAUGUAAAUUUUUAGAGUUUUUAAACUUAAACUCACUCAUUUCUUUUCUCUCCCUCCUCCUCUCUCACUCCAAAUCUAUCUCUCUUUUCUUCUUUCUAUGUCCCCCUUUUUUUUUUUUUUUUUACCUUUUUCGUCUCUCAUCCAAUCCGCUCUCUUCAUUAUCUCGAUUCUUUUUCUCACUUAUCUUCCUCUAUAUCUCCUCCGAUCCUCUCUUCUUUCUCUUUCCUUCAAUCAUAUCUUACUUUCUUUCCUCCUCUUUCCUCUUUCUCCCUCGACCCCCUCUUUUUGGAUCUCUUUGUCCAGUUUAAGUUGUAAGAUUUAAAAAUUUUAAAUUACAUACCAAACAAGUUUUUUAGUCUUAAAUAAAAUUAUUUUUCAAGAAAAAUUCUUAAAAAAUGUUUUGAGAAAUGAUAAAAAAUUUCAAAUAGGAUACCAAACAAGCAUUAAAAUUGCUAAUGUAUUUAGUGAUUAUACAGAGCAACUUAACUAUAGAAACGCUCCUCAAAUCACUCUAUACGUUUCCAUUUUGCUUUUCAAAUUAGCAUGUUUAUAUAUUGACAUUAGAGAAAACGAGAAUGCUGAUGAAAAUUGGAUUAUUAGAGGUUAAACGGCAGCGACCCCCCCCCCCUCCCCCCCCCAAAUCCAUUUUUGUUGGUUGACAUUCUGAAUAUUGACGGUUUACCUUGUCCUCCUUAAUUUCCUAUAAUCGGUAGUAUAGGGGCGACAUCUUGGCAUUUGUUGCAGUGUCGUAUCCAUCUGUACCCCCCUCCACUACCUUGCUUGUCUCCUUUAGUUUAUCUGUUGCUUGCCUCCCUUAACGAGCAGAAACCAAACAAGAACACCCAAUUUUGACACGUGUACAACACACUCAAACAUCAUCAGCGUCCAAGAAGGCUAGGCGCCAUAUCACAGAGAUCCAUCUUGGCCUAGGUCCCUCUCUAGUUUCUUGCUAAUCAAAAUUCAAACCCAAUUUUUUAUUCGGAAAUAAAUUUCAAAAUUUAGGAAAUUUUAUUAUCUGAAAAAGAAAUAAUUUUCAAGGGUUACACUGUGACUGUGCUGAUAAACACAUGGAUACCAAGCUCUGUUGUGAUUGCUUCCCUUUACGUUUUUUCGCCAAUCUUUGUGCACCAUUUAGACAUUGAUAGUGAUGCCAGUUUUAGCUGUAUCCUCACAUAAAAAUUGCCAAAUAUACACAGAUGUCAAAGAUCUUGAAGUUUGGUUCACAUGCUUUGUCAGGGAAGAUCAAUGUAUGCGAUUGGGUCGUCUGGAAUUAGCAGUGUAAAAGGUGUUGGUAUACGGUCCAGCCCAUGAUCAAUGUUCUAGAUUAUUCUAGUAAGCAAGAGAUGAGGCUGGAGCUUGCUAGACAAUUCUAGCAUGUUAUUAAGUUGAUGGAAGAAGCUAGAGAGUACUAGCUUCCUUGGUUGCAAAUGGAAAGAUCUAGAAGCUACAAGUAUGUGGCUAGUCUAGAUUUUUCUAUACUAGAGGUUUGAAGAAGGAACUAGAAACUAGUAGAAUGCCAAGCCCUCACCUAUAAAUAUGGGUGUGAUGUAACCAAUUGAAAAUCAAGAAAGAGUGAGUAGCAAAGGAUCAAGUCCAAAGCUAGAGUUCCACUCCAAGAGUGAGAGUGAGAGUGUUCCACUACACAUUGUGUGAGUGAAGUUUAGAGUGAUAGAAAGUGUGUGUUAUACUUUCUUGUAUCCAUCAAGCCUUGUCUUUGGCUUGGUAAGACUACUCUUGUUGUAUUCAUUUUUUUCAUAUAGUGAAGAUUGAUCCUUGUUUGGUGGACGUAGGCAUAAAUUGCCGAACCACAUAAAUUCUUGGUGUCCAUUUUCUACUUUACCUUGUGCAUUCUCUAUCUUGUAGUACUGACAUUCCUAACAAGUGGUAUCAGAGCCCGGUUGGCUCGUACUACGAGAUGGAAGGAAGUGGCACUAUGAUCAAACUCACCAACUCCAAUUGGGUAACAUGGAAGCCAAGGAUGGAGGACAUUCUCUAUUGCAAGGAUUUGCAUGAGCCAAUUGAAGGAGAUGCCGCUAAGCCCGAGAGCAUGUCCGAUGCCGAGUGGAAGAAGAUGAAUCGCAAGGCUAUUGGCACAAUUAGACAAUGGGUGGAUGAUAGUGUUUUUCACCAUGUGUCUAAUGAAACCAAUGCUCGCGAGUUUUGGACGAAGCUUGAGUCCUUGUUCGAGAAGAAGACCCCAGCCAAGAAAGCCUUCUUGAUCAAAGAGCUCAUCAAUGUGAAGUACAAGGAUGGUUUAAGUGUAGCAGAACACUUGAACAAUUUCCAGAAUAUCAUCAACCAGUUGGCUACUAUGAAAAUGACGAUCGAGGACGAGCUACAAGCGCUCUUGUUACUUGGAUCCUUGCCAGACAGUUGGGAGACCUUUGUGGUGAGUAUAAGUAACUCUGCUUCUAAUGGUGUUCUUACUCUUGAUAAUGUUAAAAAUAGCAUGCUCAAUGAAGAAACAAGGAGAAAGACUUCUGGCACAGAUAGCAGCCAAGUAUUUGUCACAGAGAACCGCGGAAGAAGCAAGAGUAGAGGGCCUAGAGGUCAUGGCAGGAGUCCUAGCCGAUCCAAGUCAAGGUUCAGGGGUGCAUGCCACCAUUGUGGCAAAGAAGGCCAUAUGAAGAAAAAUUGUCGAGUUUGGAAGAGAGAGCAAAAGGAAGGAAACAAUCAGAAGAAAGAUGAUACUGGCAAUACCACUGCUGUCAUAUGUGGUGAUGUACCAGAAAUAUUGUCUGUUGGUGAAUGUCUGCAUAUGGGCAACUCUGACAGAGACAUUGAAUGGAUCUUUGAUAAUGGAGCUUUCUUCCAUGCUACGUCCAAACGGGAGUUCUUCAGUACAUACAAAGAAGGUGACUUUGGCAUAGUGAAGAUGGGGAAUGAAAGCUAUUCCAAAAUUCUUGGAAUUUGGUGAUAUCUGCUUAAGAACUAAUCUCGGCUGCCAAUUGAUGUUGAAAAGAUGUGAGACAUAUUCCUGAUAUACGUCUCAAUCUGAUAUCCAUCGGUACCCUUGAUCGACAAGGAUAUUAUCACCAUAUUGGCGAAGGAAAAUUGAAGCUUACUAAAGGCUUAAUGGUGGUAGCAAGAGCACGACUUUGUUGUACGUUGUACCGGUCAAAUGCCAAGGUUUUGAAAGGUGAGUUGAAUGCUGUGGAAGACUCAUCUCUAGACUUGUGGCAUAAGAGGCUAGGCCACAUGAGCGAGAAAGGCCUACAAGUUUUGGCAAAGAAGUCUCAUAUUCCCUUUGCCAAAGGUACGUCGUUAAACUCUUGUGAGCAUUGUUUAUUCGGAAAACAAAGAAGAGUUAGUUUUUCUGUUCCAUCUACAAAGAAAGGAAACUUGUUAGAUCUUGUUUAUUCAGAUGUGUGUGGUCCCAUGGAAGUCGAGUCACUUGGAAGAAAUAAAAUAUUUUGUUACUUAUAUUGAUGAUGCUUCACGAAGGGUGUGGGUGUAUUUGUUGAAAUCCAAAGACCAGGUGUUUCAGACAUUCCAGGAGUUCCAUGCCAUGGUGGAGAGGGAAACUGGGAAACCUCUCAAGUGCCUUCGUAGCGACAACGGCGGCGAAUACACAUCUCACCAGUUUAGAGAGUAUUGUGUAAAACAUGGCAUACGUCAUGAGAAGACAGUUCCUGGAACUCCACAACAUAACGGUGUUGCUGAAAGAAUGAACCGAACCAUCAUGGAGAAAGUCAGGUGUAUGUUGAGGACUGCAAAGUUAUCUAAGCAGUUCUGGGGUGAAGCUGUAAGGACAGCCUGCUAUUUGAUCAACCGAUCUCCAUCAGUACCAUUAGGUCUUGAUGUUCCAGAGAGAGUAUGGACUGGUAAUGAUGUGUCUUACUCUCAUCUGAAGGUGUUUGGUUGCAAAGCUUUUGUGCAUGUGCCCAAAGAGCAGAGAUCGAAGUUAGACUACAAAGCUACACCGUGCAUCUUUCUUGGUUAUGGCGGUGAAGAUUUUGGUUACAGAUUAUGGGACCCAUACCAGAAGAAGUUUAUCCGAAGUAGAGACGUGGUCUUUUAUGAAGAUCAAACAAUUGGGGAUUCGGAUAAAGAGGCACAACCAGAUGGCGCAGUCAGAGGAGUUGAUCCAUUAGUUUCAGAUGAAGAAAGUCACGAUGACAUCCCUGAAGCAACUGCCAAUGAAGUGCCUGCAGAAUCAGAUAAUGCUGAUCAAGAGGAGCCUGAUCAAGAUGUGCCAGACCAUGAGAUUGCUGAUCAGGGGGAGCCUAGUCAAGAAGAGCAGAUUCAAGGAGAAUCCAAUCAGGGGGAGCCUCUAGCCCCGCAAGAGAAUGAAGAUCAGGUCAGAAGAUCCAGCAGAAGUCGAAGACCGUCUACCAAGUAUUCUUCAUCAGAGUAUAUCAUGUUGACUAAUUAUGGAGAGCCCGAAACUUAUGAGGAGGCCAGAGCUCAUAACGACAGUGAUAAAUGGAUGAAGGUAACUUGGAGUCAUGAUCGGAAUUCCUCCCUCAUGGACUGGAGGGGGAGAUUGUUGGUAUACGGUCCAGCCCAUGAUCAAUGUUCUAGAUUAUUCUAGUAAGCAAGAGAUGAGGCUGGAGCUUGCUAGACAAUUCUAGCAUGUUAUUAAGUUGAUGGAAGAAGCUAGAGAGUACUAGCUUCCUUGGUUGCAAAUGGAAAGAUCUAGAAGCUACAAGUAUGUGGCUAGUCUAGAUUUUUCUAUACUAGAGGUUUGAAGAAGGAACUAGAAACUAGUAGAAUGCCAAGCCCUCACCUAUAAAUAUGGGUGUGAUGUAACCAAUUGAAAAUCAAGAAAGAGUGAGUAGCAAAGGAUCAAGUCCAAAGCUAGAGUUCCACUCCAAGAGUGAGAGUGAGAGUGUUCCACUACACAUUGUGUGAGUGAAGUUUAGAGUGAUAGAAAGUGUGUGUAUACUUUCUUGUAUCCAUCAAGCCUUGUCUUUGGCUUGGUAAGACUACUCUUGUUGUAUUCAUUUUUUUCAUAUAGUGAAGAUUGAUCCUUGUUUGGUGGACGUAGGCAUAAAUUGCCGAACCACAUAAAUUCUUGGUGUCCAUUUUCUACUUUACCUUGUGCAUUCUCUAUCUUGUAGUACUGACAUUCCUAACAAAAGGAGGAUUGAUGAAUCUGAGAAAGAGGAUUGAAAGCAAAAGAGAUGAGAAGCUGAAUGGAAAACGUCGCUCCAGCUUCCUCUUUGAUUCAAUCUCGCCCACUGAAUAAAAAUGAGAGAGACAACGCAAGAAGGAACCGUUACAAACUUCACAUGCAUUACACACCUCUCAUACUCGCAAACCUCUAUCCAGUCUAGUAAGGGCUUUGAAGCAGCUUCUAAAACGGACUAAGGGCUCGUUUAAGCAUAAUAAAAAAUUGGGUUUACACCCCCCUUGUGUACCUGGUAAGCCCCUCUUCACAUUGGAUCUAAGCAUAUAUUCUUAGCUUUUGAAGCAUCCGACAAAUAAGGAGGAUAGGUUUUUUUAGAAGUUUCUGACUCUUCUUCAAAUAAAUCCAUUUUAUCGGGAUUAAAAAUAGGAAUUGGUAAAAAUCUCAAAGACAACACAAGAAGGAACUGUUGCAAACUUCACAUGCAUCACACACCUCUCAUACUCACAUGUCUUGCAUGUGUAUAUCUAAGACAAAGUCCGCUACUAUGACAGCUGGCACAAUCCGAACCUAUGAGCUAGUCUAAUCUCAACCAUUUAAUUUCAAUUCAAACAAAUAAGGACAAGACUAUGGAACUUGAAUUCUAAGAAAUCAGCUUCAAGGCUUAAUCACUAACAAUACAUACCUGAUCAAAAAAGAAAGAAAAAACACAACUUUACAAUACAUACGGAUAAGUAAAUACUGUCCACGUACUAACCGCAGGUGAAGAAAGAAAUACGCGAAAAAGCAAAAAACUAAAUAGAAGAGCUCUCAGAAUAAAGAAACCAACUCAAAACACAAAAGAGUGAUAAACUCUACCACACAAAAUCACCAUUUAUUCCACCUCCCAUGUCCCCAGUCUUACUACAUAUCAGUGAUGAUGCGCCAAAUACCUCAAUCCCCAUUACCCCGUGACCCACAGAUACAACCCCAUAUUCUCCCACCUCUCCUUGAUGCUGCCACCGCCUUCUCCUUCUCUUCCUCAUGGCUCGACUGCUUGAGAUAACUCAAAAUUGCCUCAACAGCCACCGCCUCCUUUUCCUCGCAGCUUGAGUCCACCGUCACAGUCAACGGUGCGGUGCUCUGAUUCUGAUCCAAAUUCCCAGAAGUGCUGAAACUUUGUCGUUUUGGGUGGGAACCCUUUGAUCCAUGAUUGCUGUCCUGAUGUAUACUAGUUCCCUCUAGUGUACUCUCUGCCUCAAGGAACUCCAAAUCUCGCAGCCUCAUCUCUUCCCCAUAACUUGACUCCUCAUGAUCUGUCAAAAUUUCUGAACCAUCGCUCCAGGGGAGGAGGGAUUCCCCAUCAGCCACCGCUUCAUUUUGCUCAUUGUUUGGGACCAUGGCAAUGAUGGCAUUAAUCAUAGGUGCAGUGCUUCGAAACUGAGCCAAAUCCGCCAAAGUGAUGAAUUGUUGUUUAGGGCGGUAACCACGUAUACCAGUUCCCCCUAUGUGAAGGUUCUUCAAAUACCGUAAGUCUUCAGGCAACUUCGAAAGUUCUGAGCACCCAUGGAGAUUGAGCCAUUCGAGACUCAACAAAUUGCAGAUACUGUCCGGAAUAUAGACCAGGCUUUUGCACUUUUUCAGAUUUAACGACACUAGCCCCUGAAGCCGUUCAAUUGAUGCAGGAAGCUCUCUGAUAGAUGUUCGAUCCAAAUCAAGGCUGGCUAACCUUUCCAUAUUUUCUAAUAUGUCUGGAAACACCUCAAACUUUGUACAACCAGAAAGAGAGAGAUAAUUUAGGGACUUGAGUUGACAAAUGUUGCUUGUAAGACUCUUAAAGUCUUUGCUAUACCGUAGCGUCAAAGUAGCAAGUCCCGUAAGACUAUAAAUUAUGGAUGGCAAUUCUUCAAUUGCAAUCCCUGAAAACUCAACAAUUUUUCGGCGGCGAGAGGCUUGCUCACGUUCAAGCUCUGUAAGAUUUUUGAAUGUUGAUGAAUCUUCUGUAAAUAUAGUCCAAUCGAAAUUAAGCUCUGUUAGGUUCUCCAUACCUUCUAGAAACUCUGGAAAAUUCUUCAGAUUUGAGCAGCCAGAAACAUUCAGGACUUGAAGAGAUCUCAUAUGAAUGCUGCCUGGAAAAAUCUUUAAUCUUCUGCAAUCCUUCAGGCUCAGGGUAACGAGUCCUGUAAAAUUUUUUAUGGACGAGGGCAGUUCUGAAAUUGCAGUCUCAUCUAAAUUAAGCUCUAAUAGGUUCAUAACUUCAGGAAUUUCUGAAAAAUUAUCCAGAUUUGAGCAGCCGGAAAGAUUAAGGGUUUGAAGAGAUCUCAUGUGAAUGCUGCUUGGAAGGCUAUGAAGUUUCUUGCACUGCUUUAGACUCAAACUCUCAAGGUUUUCAAGAGAAUAAAUUGAUGGGCAAAGGUCUUCAACAGAUGUCUCAUCCAAGCGAAGCUCUCUUAAUCCUUCCAUAUUUCCGCCAUUUUCUGGAAAGGCUUUGAGCUUUGAACAACCAGAAAGAUUAAGAAAUUGCAGGGACUUGAGUUGAACAAUGCUGUUUGGAAGAAUCUCAAGUUCUCUGCAAUAUUCAAGAUUCAAAGUAACAAGCCCCGUAAGAUUGUUAAUUGAUCGAGGCAGUUCUUUUAUUGCAGUCCCUUGCAAAUAAAGCUUUGAAAGCUUCUCCAUAAUUUCUGAAAUCUCUGGAAACUUCUCAAGUAUUGAGCAAAAAGAGAGAUCAAGGGUUUCAAGAGAUUUCAUACAAAUGGUGCUUGAAAAGGUCUUGAGUUUGCCGCACCAACUUAGAUCCAAGAGGACAAGUUUUUCAAGGGCAGAAAUGGAUGGGUGAACCUCAUAUAAACUUUGUGCAUCCACCAAGAAUUAGGUUCUCAAGAUUCUUUGCCUCAGUGAAGUCAGGUGUUUCCUUAAGACGAUAAGAGCCUUUUAAGUUGAUAAUUUUCAACUUUUCCAGAGGCUGUCAAUAUACAACAAGGAAAAUAUGUGUUACCUACAUAAUAAGGCAUUUAAAAACUAAACAAUUUAAAAGCAGUAUAUAGGCAAAUGAUGAACGUACCUGAGUUCCUUUCCAGAGGUGUUCAACCCAACUAUAUUGCAUGUCAAUGUCAACAAGAUUCUCUGGGUUAAAAUUGGACGAUAAAGACUUUAGAGGACAUUUGUGCCAGAACAAAUAACUUAAUUUUUCAGAGAGAAACUUUAGAUCCUUGUAUUUCCAUUCAUCAUCGGAUUCCCUGCCCGGUGGUUGUAAAUAGUGGGUAUGGACUCUGAGUAGUCUUAGUUUUAUCAUUUUAAAAAAAGCGGUGUCUAAUUCCACCACAUUGUUUGAGUAUGGCCAACGCACAAUUAUGCUUUCAACUGCUUCUGUAGCCUGGAUAACCAAAAUUGCAAAUUGAAUGAGUACAAAACUUAAGAUUAUAACUUCUAAAUGCACAUGUUUCUCAUUAAUUGGAUUUUGGUCAAAGUUGAAGCUUUAUACUUUUUAUUAAUAUUAAUAAUAAUAAUAUUAUUAUUAACAUUAUUAUUAUUAUUAUUAUUAUUAUUAUAAUUAUUACUAUUAUUAAAUUUACUAAUAUUAAUGUGAGAGAGAAGAUUCAAAGCAAUUACAUUAAUGGAAGGGAGGGAGUGCGUUUCUCACCGUUUCUCGACUUAACACAUGAUGAACAUCUUCAUAGCUCCACAACCUACUGCGCCUCCCAGGCUCUUUUAUAGAUUCCUGGCGUACGAUUUCGCGACCCAUUUCCUCUAGUAAAUCAUGCAUCUCGAGUACACCAUCAGAUGAGACAGUGACAAGAGCUCUACCAACUAGAACGUCUAAUCCGGUAUGGGGAUGGAAGUCACAACCCUCCAUAAUCCUUGUUGCAAAGUCUUUCUUCAUUUGUUUAAAGAAACAUGCAAUAUCAAGAAAUAUUUCCUUCUGCAAACCAUCUAGUCCAUCAAAGCUUGUUCUAAGGACUGUCUGGAUUCCCAGGUGCGGAUUUCUCGCUAUUUUCUUUAACUCAUCUUUCCACACAAGUACACUUUUGUUAUCGAGGAAUGCUCCCAAGACUUUGAGUGCUAAAGGCAAACCUUGAGCAUAUUUUAUGAAAUGGCCUGACAAAUCAACGUAUUCUUCUGUGGGUUGCUUUGUACUGAAAGCAUACUGCAUAAACAGCUCGAGAGCAUCAUCGUCAUUUAACAACUCGGGCUCAUAUAUCUGAUCACCAAGUCUACUUAGUGACUGUUUCUCUCUAGUUGUUAUAAUGAUUCGACUUCCGCCACCAAAUGAAGGUUGCUUUCCAAUUAAGGCUUCAAUUUGGGAUGAACUCUCCACAUUAUCAAGAACAAGUAAAACCUUUUUCCUACCAACUCUUUCCAUCAUCUUCUGAAAACCAUUUCUCAAAAUCUCUGAACUCCCCACCUUCAUAUUUGUGAUACUAGAUAGAAUUUCUGCCUGCAUAUCUAGUGGUGCUUCACCUGCAUCAGUUGACGGAAAACGUCCCUUGACAUUUUCAAGAAAGCAACGACCUUCGAAGUGAUGAUUGAUUUUGUCAUACAUAGCUCUAGCGAUGGUGGUUUUGCCUAUACCGCCCAUACCCCAUAUUCCAACAAAGCGAACGUUAUCGACCUCGGGACAUAAUAGUGAAUCCAUUUUCUGUAAGCGGGAAUCCAUUCCAACCAAGCCAUUCUUUUCACUUGAUAAGAUGUUGAUAAGUUUUUUAAAAAUAUCAUCGACAAUCAACUCAAUAAGCUUGGCAUCAUCCCUGCCAAAUUUGAAAAACAGUACUGUGAAGUCCUGCGAUUGCUUGUCAUAUAACACUCAUCACACUGUCAUUGAAAUUGAAAACACAAAGUAACGGCCCAACAAUUCUCAAUUUAUUCUUCUUUCAUUUACUCAAUGCACUUUUCUAAGUUCAAUCAACAUAUAAGAGAACUAGUCAUCUAUAUCCUCUCAAGAUGUUUUAUAGACCUUUUAGUCGUGCCCCUUUAUAUUGAUCUUGCGGUGAAGAAUUAAUUUAACUUGUUCUUUUUUUACUUAUUCAUGUUGGACGACGUCUUUUCUACAUUAUUUCUCUUUUUUAUACUAAUUUCCUCUUCCCUUCUAAUGGCAAAGAUCUAGGUGUGGCAGUGGAAAGUUUUGCACAGAGUUGGUGAGUAUUCAAUUUUGUAGAGGGUUGGGAAGGAAGUCUUGGUUCUAGUUGUAUUAACAUCAAUUAUAAACUAAAAAGAUCAAAACAAGAAAUUAGCUAAACUUGUAAACUAGUAAGUUAAUAAGAUUAUGAAGGAAUGAGUUACUGGUAAUUUUGUGAAUCCCAGCCACAUAAAUUGGGGGCUCUUUGUAGAGCAGACCUCCACCGCUCCACUUCUUCCAUGUCCGCGUUAGGAUCAUGUUCAUGUUUAGAAAAAGCUUUCUCAAAACUUCCCUCGAUUUUACGAACAUGAGAUGGGUCUACUUGGUAGAAAAUGGGAAUCACAAUCUGCUUCUGAUGAUCCAUGCAUUGCAGGAUUUGGACGAGUUCUUUCAAGCACCAUGUGGAAGAAGCGUAGUUUUGAGAAAAAACUACAACUGAAAGCCUCGAGUCGCUUAUAGCUGUCAGCAGCUGCGAAAGGUCUUUGCCUUUUCUGAGCUUUUCAGCGUCAAUGAAGGUGUUGAUUGAGUUCUGAACUAGAGCUUUGUAGAGAUGGCCGAUGAAGGUCUUGCGAGUGUCUUCGCCUCGAAAAUUCAAGAAGACAUCAUAUUUCCAAUCGGGAACGGAUGAAGAAGAAGAAGCCAUGAACAAGCACAAGAUCGACAGCCUAAUGUGAGUCUCGUGUAGCCCCUUAACAAAC
rnacentral:lncRNA from 1 species